AUUUCCUUUACUAAUUAAUUAUUUAUUUAACAAAUAAAUAACCAAAUAAAAAUCAAAUCAAUUAAACAAAUAUUUAUUCAAUGAUAAACACAUCCAUUAAAUAUUUAUAUAACCCAAUAAAUAUUUAAUAUUAUAAUUAAAAUUCUGGAAUGUUACAAGUUGAGUAAUUAAAUUGAUUCACAUUAGAUUAGUACGAAUUAAGAAGUUUGGAAAUGUGACGAGAAUUACGAAAUGCCUUGUGUAGCAUAAUGUGAAAUGAUGAAAUUCACUAAGCGGGUUAAAAAGGGAAUUAGGAAGAUUAAUCAUGUCUGAUCAUGUGAUUUCAUGUAGUUAAUGAUUACACUCUUAGAUUGGCAAUAUCACUCUUGAGGACAUUAAUUCAUGUCGUGUAAAACGAGUUUGGAGAUGGAGGUCGACAUUGGCUUGAAGAUAAACUAGUCUUGGCACUGUCUGGGUAUGACGCAGCUGCGCCGUCCCAGCAGUACAAACUGGCGCAACUAUGCCAGUGAUCAGUUGGAGUUGGUUACUUGCUUUUGUAGCACUGAAUUGGGACAUUAAUGUUAUAUGUGUGACAUAAAUAAAACCAUAUGAUAGGAGUAUAUUGAAAUGAAAUGAGGUACCUAGUAGCACCAUGGUAUCAUAUGAAGUUGUAAUGGACAAAUGAUUAAUUAUCUGGGUAUUCUAGAAUCUAAGAAAGGUAUUCAAUGUUUUAAAUAAACAUUAAUAUUAAAUAAAGUUAUAAUGUGAUUAUGUGAGUGGUAGAGAUAAUUAUGGGACUACCCGGACAAUAAUGCCUAAUUGCGUUGUUUUAUUACAUGUAUUUAAUGUACAUGGAUUAUAAGAUGUGAGUAUAAAACUUAUCUUUAAAUUCCUAAUAUGGUAACAAUUGUACCUUAAUAUUACAUUAUGGGGAUUAAAAGAACCAAACCAAGCCUUGCAUGCCCAAAAGCUGAGAUAUUUGCUCUUGUCCCAAAUUAAGUGUCACAAAGUACAUGAAUAGUGACUUGAAACUAAAACACGUAUUUUCCAAAAAGGCUAUUGAAUAGGUGAUCAUUUGCUAAGAAGAUGGUUGGUAAGGGUGGUUGAUCAACUCUUGAUUAACCAAUGUAUUGUUCCAUUACACCAUGAAUCCAACCUUAAUGUAAUACCAAUGUCUAGUCCAAGCUUACUCUAUAAAUACAAGCAAAAUUCAGUUUUUGGUGUUGAUAGAAGUUGCUUGAUAGUCUAAUUGGAGGGUUAUAAGUUGCUGAGCUACUAUAGAAGUAUACUCAGAGUGUAGGAAGUUCAAUUCAAGCCCAAGAAGGUAUAAAUUCUAAUUGUGUUCUUGAAUUGGGCCUUGUUUAAUUCUUGAAAUUUCUUGAAUUCAUAUGUCAAUUGAUAUAAAUUAACAUGUUAUAAUGUGUUUAAGAAGUUCCCUUACAUGUAUGAACUCUUUUAUGAUAGUUGGAACAAGUUUAAAAUCAUUAGAAAUCAAGUUAGCUAAGACUCUGUAAAAUAGAGUCUUCUUCUGCUCCUGAACCAGACAUGGCGCAGCUGCGCCCUAAUUGAACAUGGGUGCAGCGUAGCUGCGCUGUCUUCUGAGUUCCGUUGAGCCUUCUGUUUUAAAAAUAUGCUAAGUGUGAUCAGUUAUUAUGGCUUAAGCAAAUAUGCAAGCAUGUAUAACAUGUAUAUAUAAGUAUAAUAACCUAAUGUGAGCAUGUUUUACUAAGAUUAGCAUGAUUUGGUAGAAGAUCUUUAACAAGGACUUUAAGUUUCGAAAACAAACUUUGUUAAAGUUCAUGUUCUGUAAAUUUUGAGCUUAGUGGUCUAUACACAUGACUGAUUUUACACAUAAAUGAGCAUGCUUGGUGUAAAUAGUUCCUUUGUUUAUAAUCAAACUCGUUAGACCUUGUGUGAAAGAAGUUUUUAAGAAAACUUGGUAUAAGAGAACUAAGGUGCAUAAAUACUACUUGCUAUACAUUCUGAUCUUGCGAGCAUUUUAACAUGACUUGACUACAUAUAAAUAGAGCCUUAAAGUUGCCUUGUAUGUGUUUAAUGGCAUUGUUCUAGUUUAAAGUGGUUUUAAAAGCAAACUUGAACAUAUUUUCAAAAUCCAGUUGCAUCACAUGGAUGUGUAGAUUCUAAAGGAUUAAUAUGACAUGUUAUGUCUAUAAAAUCCCUAGAUAUGAUUUAUAUGUGAUAUAUCACAUCAUUCAUGAAAAAUGAUUUCAAAGGCAACAAUGUUUCGAACUUAAGUUGCAUUACAUAUGAGUAUUUAGAUUUUAAAGGCUUGAGAUGCCAUGUUAUGUUUCAUUAUGUCUCUAAACAUAAGUCUUAUAUGUUAAACAUAAUGAAGGUAAACCAAGUAUGAGGUUAAAGCAUGUUUUAAAGUGUUAAACAAUGCUAGCUAUGAGUAAAAGAUAUGAAUAUGAAUGAGCAUACGUAUUACAGAUUAUGUGACCUCUUUUUGUGAUCAUAAGGCUAAUUAGUACACCUAGUGAUUACAUGACCCUGUUUGGCUUUGAUUUCGUGAAAAUCCUAACUAAAGUCCCUAACAUAUAAGGUUGAUCUUGAAGUGGUCAUACAAGUAUGUAAAGACCUCUAGUGUGUACGCAUGAUAAGUAUAAGAGUCUAAGUGUGUUAAAGUUUGGACAGAAAUAGGAAGUGCAAAGCUCAACCUUCGUCUGGUCAGGGGACAACGCAGCUUGUAUAAUUAAUAUAUAUGGUUAGUAUGGUAUGUAAUGUGUUAAGAAGCAUGCUAUGUGAUAAAGAUGAAUGUUAAUCAUGACUUUCGAAUGUUAAGUCCAAAGGAAUGUUUACAUGAGAUAAAGCAAUGAUACGUUGUUUGAAUGAGUGAUGUCUUACAAUCUAAUUUGUGUUACAUAGGUGAUGUUGUAUAAAGUUACAACUAAGUUAGACGUUUGUGUGUACGAUUGAACUUACCUAAAUAACUUUUAAAUGUGUCGAACACAUAGCGAGUCAAGUGGUGAUAAAUAUAUAUAUGAAUGUUGAUGUCAUGUACGAGUGGUUAAGGUAUACCUAUACGUACCUAGCUAUUUCGAGAAUAUGAUGAGAAAGUGGAAUGUAGGUUUUACGAACCUAGUUAGGAAAUAAUGUAACAUUAUUAUUACAUUGAGAAUGCAUGAAAUAUGUUACUGAUGGAUAUGAAUCCAUGAUUAUAUAACUGUGUAGGAAUACACGAAGUGAAGAUAAGCUUCAAGAAGUUAAGUCGUAGUUGAUAAACUAUGAAUCAGGCAAGUCUUUCAGUUUCUAUUUGUUAUAUGAAUUCGAUAACUGUUAGUUGAGCUAUAGUAUGCCAUGAGAAUGUUGAUGUAUAUAUAUAUAUAUAUAUAUAUAUAUAUAUAUAUAUAUAUAUAUAUAUAUAUNNNNNNNNNNNNNNNNNNNNNNNNNNNNNNNNNNNNNNNNNNNNNNNNNNNNNNNNNNNNNNNNNNNNNNNNNNNNNNNNNNNNNNNNNNNNNNNNNNNNNNNNNNNNNNNNNNNNNNNNNNNNNNNNNNNNNNNNNNNNNNNNNNNNNNNNNNNNNNNNNNNNNNNNNNNNNNNNNNNNNNNNNNNNNNNNNNNNNNNNNNNNNNNNNNNNNNNNNNNNNNNNNNNNNNNNNNNNNNNNNNNNNNNNNNNNNNNNNNNNNNNNNNNNNNNNNNNNNNNNNNNNNNNNNNNNNNNNNNNNNNNNNNNNNNNNNNNNNNNNNNNNNNNNNNNNNNNNNNNNNNNNNNNNNNNNNNNNNNNNNNNNNNNNNNNNNNNNNNNNNNNNNNNNNNNNNNNNNNNNNNNNNNNNNNNNNNNNNNNNNNNNNNNNNNNNNNNNNNNNNNNNNNNNNNNNNNNNNNNNNNNNNNNNNNNNNNNNNNNNNNNNNNNNNNNNNNNNNAUAUGAGAUAUGUAUGAAAUGUGAAAGUUGAUCUUUGAUGAUAUGCUUGUGAUAUAAACUUAUAUGCCUGUUAUAUGAGAAGUAACAUGCGUAGUAAAUAUUGAUUGAUUAUGGAUGCAUGAACUAUGUAUUAUUAUAUGCUACGUGCUGCAUGAAAACUGUUAGAAUUGCUGGGUUGUCGAGCUCACCCUUGCAAAUAACCACUUUUGCAGGUUAAGGACUCGCGAUAAAGAUUAUGUGCUACUUAAUUGAUAAAGUUUAAUAACAUCGAAGGAGAUUGAUUUACUUAUUUAAAUAUAUGUUCUUGAACUAUGUCUAGGUUCUAGGAGUGGUAUAUGAUAGUAGUUUACGAUGUGUAAUACAUGUUAAGUUGUACUAUGAUAUACAUAGAGAAAUUUGAAUCGAGAUGUAAAGAUUUAUACAGUAAUUCGAAUAGAGGGAAUCAUAACAUACUUUGAUUCAUGAAUUUGUAAUUGAUUCAAGUUAACAAAUCAAUAAAAGAUUAUUUUUCAAAGGAGAUUGCAAAGUUUAAAUUAUUUCGCAUAUUUUUAUAACAUCGAAUAUGAUGUAAGGCAGGAAUGGUAAAUGACCAAGAUUUAAAAAUUAUAAAAGUUUGGGGUCAUUACAUAGAUCCUGGAAAUAUAAAGAAUUUAUAUUCUAAAUUGUAAUAAGUAAAGUCAUAUUCAUUAAGUUAUGAAUAAAAGAUAUAAAUAGUUUGACAAUAGUAGUAUCGUGGUGGAUCGAAUCCGAGGUUCAAAGGGACCUGGAUUUGGGGGCGUCACUGGUUGGUAUCAAAGCUGUAGGUUAUAAACUUUAGGUAAGUGUAUCUUAGGCUAUAACCUGAUAAAGAGAAAGAUAAAGAUUAAAAUAUAUAUAAGUGAAGAUUCAAAGAAGAAUCUUGAAGUAUCUAAGGGAAUGAGAAUUCAGGAGUUUCCUAACUCCGAUAAUAAAAAUGAUAAAAUGGUGUCUAUAUGAAAAAGAUAAUGAGAAUGAACUCGAGUGGAUUUUUGUUGAUAAUAGGGAAAGAACCCUAAGGUAAACCGAUGAUCACGACGUGAUCGGAAUAAGCUAUGAAGUAAUAAAUAGUCUAUAAUGACUAAGUGUGUAUAGCUUGAUGCUAUAAAAGAAUGUACUGUGAAAUGGUAUGAUAUGAACUCAUGAGGAGUUGUAUGUGAUGAGAUACGAAGAAUUUGUAUCAAGUAAAGUGUAAGAUAGAGUUAAGUGGGAUUUCAAUUGAGGACCCAUGUCAGCAGCUGAGUUGUAUAAUUCCUUGUUAUGGGCAGGGAAUUAUACUUGUGUUAGGUUUGUAAUAUUCAUGAACGCAAUCAAAUUGCACAAAAUAAGCGAAAGCAUGGAAAAUCAGAGUUUUUAAAAAUAUACAAACUAUAUACCCGGAUCAUCCUUUAUGCACAAUUAUUAAUUAAACGAAAAGAUAAAGAACAAGAUUCAUACCAUUGAAGAUUUGAGCUUCCUCAGGUACAAGUUCACCUCCAAAUCUUUUCGCGUUCAACUUGAAUCCAUCGGUUUUUGGUUCCUUCCUUUGAUCAACGUUAGCCACCCAUGUGUUUGGCCUCUAGAGGUGAUCCACCAGGGAAGAAGAAAUAUUCAAGAAGAAGGGUGAUUGGCUAAACCCUAGUUUUCUAUCUCUAUAGAAAAAGAACGUUCUCUCCAACAAUUGGAAUCACGUCUGUUGUGCAAAGUCAACAACAACUCUACACCCAUAAUAAGACUCCUUUUAUUAAUAGAUGUGGGCAACCCUCCUUAACAAUUAAGGAAUUGGGUUUUAUUUCAAUUAAUUAAAUUCUUCUAAUUAACUAGGCUCCCAAUCUUAUUAGGAAUAAUUAAUUAAACUCUUUUAAUUAAUUAGCCUCCUAAUCUUAUUAGGAUAUUUGAGAGUACUUUUAUUAAUUAAUUCCCAAACUCCUUUAGGAAUUAAAUAAUAAUAAUAAUAAUAAUAAUAAGACUCCUCUUGUCAACACGUGAGGUAGGGUAUUUAAGAGUCGUGGGUUCGAGAAUCGUCGGAUUCCGACUUAAAACCAAGAAAACGAGCAUUGAACUCUCAUUAACAUUUACGAACGCUUAAAAAAUGAACUCAAUAGUGAAUUUAAACUUAACAGAUUCAAAAGUGUUGAAUUUUUAUAUGAACGCGUAAAGUAUGUCAAUUAUGAUGUGUAGCCUUUUGAACGGACCAAAUCGGACUUAUAACGAAGAAGUUAUGCUCCGAGAAAUUCACCAAAUUUUUAUUUAUUGGAAAAAUUCUGGUAUUGAGGUCUGGCGCCGCGGCGCCAGACAGUGCUUAAAUUGCCGCGCCACAGCGCCGGUACAGUGUAGUUGGCUACUGGAAAAUGGCGCCGCAGCACCACUUGUAUAGGGAAGUCUCGCGCCGCAGCGCCGAGACCGGGACUUGGGUACUGCUAACUGGCGCCGCAGCGCCAGUCUUGUACUAAGAUGUCACGCCGAGGUGCGGGUGCAGGGUUUUUGAUAGAUGACUUAGGUUUUGAACUUUAAUUGUUCAAAGACCUAUAGGAGUAAAAUUUAUGCACUUUAUAAGUGUACUAAAACUAUUCCUAUACUAUAUAUACUAAGGUAUAUGGUAUUGAAACUUAGGAAUUGAAUGCAUGUUAGUAAGUUAUGAAUGAAGGACACAAAGUUUUAUCAAUGAACCCUAGUCGGGAAAUAACGUUGGUACUUUGCUAAUGAUGAUAGAGUCCGGUUAAUAACGUAAGUUGAUUAAUAAGUCGGGACGAAGGGUAAUAAGUCGAGUUGACUUUAUUAAUGAUAUUAAGUUAACAAAGACAUAGAAUAGAAAGAAGUUGGUAGGAACAAUGUGAAUAAUUGUUUGAUAGCUACUUACAGUGUGCUAUAUGAAUAUAUCAUGUAUAUUUUAUAAAGGUUUUGGUCAGUCAAUUAAGUUAUUUGAAGACGCUGAAAGGAAAGUUUUCUUAACGCUUGUCUAACCUUCAAGUUAGUCAAGUUUAAUGUGAUUCAUUGUACUGAAUUGCACGACUAAUUUUAAAGAAAGGGUCAAUGCCAGAUUUAACUCGGCUAGACUACUUGUAAGAUAUAGAUUGAUUGAUAUUCAUAUCAUUCUAUAUAGAAAUGUUAACUCUAUCCUAUGCCAAGUAAUUAGUACGGAUGUGAAGGUAAGGUUUGUCUAUGAACAAACAAAAGUAUUUUUCAUCGAUUAUUCGAUGGGCACGCGAGUUUGCCAAAUGUUAAACGUAAAUAUGUUUAACGAAUGAGUGUUGAUCAACAUAGAGUACUAUAGGCUAAUCACCUAGAAGUGCUCGUAAGUAAUGCGGAUGUAUAGUCUUAGUGCUGUGAUAUCCUUUUCAAGUAUGAAAACAAAAAGAUACUUUUCAUGGUCUAUCGACCGGUUCAGAAUUCCUAAUCUACACUAUACUUUGGGAAUUGAUGUUAUGAAAUGUUAAAGUAUUAUUUUUUCAUAAUACUUCAUAACUAUUUGUUCAGUUAUGUAUGAAUUAUUAUAUAAUUCACGAAGGUGGUAUUACUGUUUUCCUUUGAUAAACUUGUUGAGCUUGUUAUGCUCACUUCUUGCAUGAAUUAUAUGAUUGCAGUUAAGGAUGAACGUACUGAUAAUGCUAAGAGAGAUAAGGGCAGAGCUAAGAUGGAUACUUAGUCACCGUGUAAUAGAUUAGUAUGUUUGUAUGUAUUAUACAUUAUGAACAACGAACUAUGUAAUCAGUUUAUGAACCUGGGAAGGAUUAUACUUUGAUUGUAAUAAGAAGAUAGUAAUUACAUUCAUUAUGUUGUAUUUCAAUGAAAUGAUUGUGUAGUUAUGAGUACCGUGUAACACCAUAUGUGUAACAUUCUAGAAUUUUAAUUGUUAUAUUAAAUAUUUAUUGAAUUAUUUAAAUAUUUAAUGGAUGUGUUUAUUGUUGAAUAAAUAAUUGUUCAAAUUUGAAUUGAUGUGGUUAACUAUUUGCUAAAUAAAUAAUUAAGGAAAAUUUAUUAUUUUGCUAAUUUAAUUUAAUUAUUAAGUUAGAGAAUUUUGAUUAAUUGAAUAACUAUUUUUUUUAUUGGAAUUUGUAAAUUUAAAAGGAUAUGUUAGUGGAUUAAAUAAAAUUAUGAUUAUAAAGAAAAUUAUAAUUUUGUGGUAUUGAUUUAUGUGUUAAAGUAAUUUAAUAAAUUGUUUUUAGAAUUAAUUUAAUUAAGUUAAUGUGUGACAAAUAACCUUUUAUAAAGUAGUUAUUAAAAUAACUUAAAGGAGUUUUAAUGUAGUUUUGCCAAACAAGGCUUAUUGCUUAUUAAGUCUUUAUUCUACUUGUGUUUUACCAAACAAGACCUAAAGAUUAAUUGGUUAUUUUUUUAGUGACUAGCCAAACAAGCCUUAUGGCUUUUGAUUUUUAAAACUCAUAUAACUGAUAUCAGUUAUAUGUUUUGUAUUUAUAUAAUAUAAUCAAUAUAUAGUAUAUUCUAUAUACGUUAUUUGUUAAGUACGUUAGAUAGAGAAAGAGAAAAAAAGAAAACUCAGAGGAAGAAGAAGAAGAAGAAGGGAAGAAGAAGAGAAGAGAGGAAGAAAGGCUAGAGAGUGGAGAAAGGCUUGUCAAGUAAAGAGAUAGCCAUCAUCACCUUCUUCAAGGUUUCAUCCUACCCUUUUUCUUUUAUGUUUUCUAAAAUUCUAGUUUUCUCUUCUCUAAUUCUCUAUAAAUUCCUUGUGUAAAGAUAAAUUGUCGUUGUUAUGUGGCUUUAUAUUGCAUACUAGUGAUGUUAAAACGAUUUUCAUAAGUUGUAGUCAAUAAAUNNNNNNNNNNNNNNNNNNNNNNNNNNNNNNNNNNNNNNNNNNNNNNNNNNNNNNNNNNNNNNNNNNNNNNNNNNNNNNNNNNNNNNNNNNNNNNNNNNNNNNNNNNNNNNNNNNNNNNNNNNNNNNNNNNNNNNNNNNNNNNNNNNNNNNNNNNNNNNNNNNNNNNNNNNNNNNNNNNNNNNNNNNNNNNNNNNNNNNNNNNNNNNNNNNNNNNNNNNNNNNNNNNNNNNNNNNNNNNNNNNNNNNNNNNNNNNNNNNNNNNNNNNNNNNNNNNNNNNNNNNNNNNNNNNNNNNNNNNNNNNNNNNNNNNNNNNNNNNNNNNNNNNNNNNNNNNNNNNNNNNNNNNNNNNNNNNNNNNNNNNNNNNNNNNNNNNNNNNNNNNNNNNNNNNNNNNNNNNNNNNNNNNNNNNNNNNNNNNNNNNNNNNNNNNNNNNNNNNNNNNNNNNNNNNNNNNNNNNNNNNNNNNNNNNNNNNNNNNNNNNNNNNNNNNNNNNNNNNNNNNNNNNNNNNNNNNNNNNNNNNNNNNNNNNNNNNNNNNNNNNNNNNNNNNNNNNNNNNNNNNNNNNNNNNNNNNNNNNNNNNNNNNNNNNNNNNNNNNNNNNNNNNNNNNNNNNNNNNNNNNNNNNNNNNNNNNNNNNNNNNNNNNNNNNNNNNNNNNNNNNNNNNNNNNNNNNNNNNNNNNNNNNNNNNNNNNNNNUUGAUUUCAUAUUGUAUCCAGUGAGCAAUUGUUUUGCUCACUCUUGCAUGUUUAUAAACUCAUUGCAGCUAAAGAGAAGAAGGUAGAUGAACCUUCGACUAGCAAAGGAAAGGGAAAAAUGUGCAAGUGAUGAAGACUUGUAAUUUUAUUUUGAUAGAGAUGUUAGAUUUUAUUAUGAUGAUCUUAGACUUGGUUUUAAUGAAGCUUUAUUUAAUUUCCGCAUAUGAAUGAUUGUAUUUAAAGGUUAGAUAACCUGGGAGAUUAUAUUAUGUAACCCUUUAAUGGGAAAGGUUUUAUUUAUCCAGUUUUAUUGAGUUUGGGUAGUUAGAUAUGAAUGUUUGAUUACGUGAACACCAGAUCCUAUGGAAAUGAAGUACCUGGAUUUGGGGGUGUCACAGGUUGGUAUCAGUGCUUUAGGUUAUGAACCUUAGGUGGGGGAAAAGCCUUAGGAAGUAACCUUCGAGAAGAUAGUGAUGAUAAACUCUUAUCUUGUUUUAAGGAAGAAGUAAUAAAACACUUAUGUGCUUAUGUGAUUACAACUUAUGUUCUCGUGAGAGUCGAGUAAUAAUGAUUAAUAACUAAAACUUAAAAAUCUUGUUGUCAGGAAGACUAAUAUCGGAGAAUCCAGUCAGGCUAGGGAGGAAGGACCUCAGAUGCCUAGAGAGGAGGAAUCUCGUGAUAUUCAAGUGGUUUGGGAACAACAGCUUCCACGAGAGUCAGCUCCAUUACUCGCAAUGGUCGAGGAUGAUGAUGAUGAUGAUGAUGAUGUAGAAACAGAUGAGGAAGAUCCCGUGGAACUGCCGCAGACGGAUGAAGAGGACGAGGAGGAAAGGAUUCCACUUAACUCAAUAGCUGGCCGUAUAUAAGAUGAGGUGCAUGACCGCAACGUGGAACUUUAAGAUACUAUUGAGGAAUUGCAAGAGAUAGUAGCUGAACAACAGACUUCGUUGGCACAGAAGGACGAUGAGAUUCAGGAUCGAGAAGAAUGACUGAACAAUGUUGAAGAGAAGCUGGUUCACACUAAAGAAGAGAACGAUCAAAUGAGAGCAGAGGUUGCAGAGUUGAAGAGUAAGUUGAGAGAAGAAUCUGCAAAAAGGGCAAGAGCCAAAGAUGCAUACAGUGAAGCUUAUCAACAAGCCGAAAUAGCAAAGGGAGACGCACAAGCAAAGAGAAAGAAGAUGGAAGAAAUGGAUAAUGUGUUCAACACCGCGAUCAAUCAAGCUCAAGACCGGGUCAUGGGUUAUCCAAUUCAGUUCGAGACGCUACCCUCGUUCAUACUGGACUGUCGAACCAUGUUCCGAGUUAUGGAAGAAGAACAUCGUAAGGCUUUGCAAUAUCUUAAUAGGACAUCGUAGGGAGUGUACUUGAGUUAUGUUAUGAUAAAUAAUUUGUUAAUCCUAAGUGUUAUGCAACCUAUGGGAUAUGAUGAUGAUGUCCUGAAACUUUAGUAGUUCAGGAAAAUAAUGUAAAUAGCAGUGAUGUUAUUGAUAUGAUGUUUUCAAAGAAGUUUUGACUAAAAGAUAUUAUUUUCUUUUAUCUAAAGUGUUAUGUGUUAUGAAGUGAUUACUUUAUGGGGGCAAGUUAAGUAGAAAUUACUUGAAAAGAGUUGAGCAAUAAUCUAAUGAAUGUAUUCUUUUGAAAAGAAAAUGCCUCCAAGACGUCAACCACCCCGUCAGAGAACCACCGAAGAAACCAACAACGAUAAUGCUGAAACUAACUCUGUUCGGCAGUUGGUGACGUUACUAACCGGUGCAUUACAAAAUCAACCGUAGAAUCAACCUCAGAACCAAGGUGCUACGUUUAAGGACUUCAAGGCGGUUGGACCACCAGAAUUUCGUGGAUCCAUGAACCCAGUUGAAGCACAGACUUGGAUUAUGGAAAUUGAGAAGGUUUUUGAUGUUGCUAGGGUAGAGGAGAAUCAGAAGACUGCUUUUGCAACGUUUAUGUUGAAGGAGGAGGCUAGCUAUUGGUGGCAGGCCAAUAAGACUCGGGAAGGACCAGGAGUAAUGACCUGGGAUAAGUUUAAGGAGCUGUUCUUCGAGACUUAUUUCCCUGAGAGUUCGAAGAGUCAGCUAGAGGUCCAGUUUUUGGAGUUGAAGCAAGGAACAAUGUCGGUGUCGGAGUAUGCCGCGAAGUUCAACGAGUUGGAAAGGUUUGCGCCAUAUCAGGUCAGCACAGACGAGUGCAAGGCGAAGAGGUUUGAGCAGGGAUUGAAACCCUGGUUGUACAGUAGGGUCUCCCUGUUCCAAUUGAAGACAUUUGCAGCAGUGAUGGAGAAGGCGAUUCUCGCUGAAAGUGGAGGCGAGGCAGUAACAAAGCAUAAUCAAGAGCAGAGAAAUAAGAAAAGUGAAGGUGAAGCUAAGAGUAGUGGUAACGGUAGUAAUGGCAACAACCUGAAGAGGAAGUGGAAUGGAAAUGGAGGAGCUGGAAAUCAGCAAAAAAAACCAACAAAAUAAGAAGUUCGAACCAUGUGUUACGUGCGAAAAGUUUCAUAAGGGAGUGUGUUUGCUGGGGAAAUGUGUAUACUUUAAUUGUGGCCAGGAGGGACACAUUGCCCCAAAUUGCACUCAAUCUAAGAAGAAUGUGUGCUUCACGUGCGGAUCUAAGGAUCACUUUGCUCGUGAAUGCCCUAAGAAGAGAUCUGGUGAGACAAAUGGGAGCAAGGGAAAUGCUAGUGGAAGUGCGUUGGCUAUUGCUGGACCAAUAACAACAAAUAAGCCCACAUCCAGAACCUUCAACAUGACUAUGCAAGAUGUUGUGCAAUCAAAGGAUGUGGUGUCAGGUAUUAUCCUGAUCAAUGAUAUUGAUGCUUAUGUAUUAUUUGAUUCGGGUGCUACUUGCUCAUUUAUAUCUGAUGAAUUUUCUAUGAGAUUAGGAUUGCCUAGUGAAGAAUUGAAUUUUCCUUUAAACAUAAAAAUUGCGAAUAAGGAAGUAGUUCCUGUUAGGUUCGUAUACAAGAACUGUAGGGUAAACAUUAAGGGAAAUAUUUUGAUGGUAGAUUUGAUUCCGAUCAGGCUAGGAGAGUUUGAUGUUAUUUUGGGAAUGGAUUGGUUGUUUAAUUGUGGAGCAAUAAUUGACUGCCAAAAGAAAUGUGUAAACCUUAUGACUCCGUCAAAGGAAGUAUUUAAUGGUAGCAAAUCGCCUAGACAAAUGAGAUGUCUGACAAUUAUGCAGGCCAAAAAGUUGUUGAGUCAGGGCUGUGUGGGUUAUUUAGCUUACAUAGUCGAUACUCAGAAGAAGGGUGCAAAACUGGAAGAAAUACCAAUGGUUAGGGAAUUUGUGGACGUGUUUCCAGAGGAUUUGCCAAGACUUCCGCCUGAUAGAGAAAUCGAGUUCGUGAUCAACUUAGCGCCGGGAACCGCUCCGAUAUCGAAAGCCCCGUACAGAAUGGCUCCGGUGGAGAUGAAAGAACUGAUGGUACAACUACAGGAGCUGUUGGACAAGAAAUACAUUCAGCCGAGUGUGUCACCGUGGGGAGCACCGGUGUUAUUCAUAAAGAAGAAGGAUGGGUCAAUGCGUCUUUGCAUUGAUUAUAGAGAGUUAAACAAAGUCACUAUUAAGAACAAAUAUCCAUUGCCGAGAAUAGAUGACUUGUUUGAUCAAUUGAAGGGUGCUAGAUAUUUCUCGAAAAUAGAUUUGAGAAGUGGGUAUCAUCAACUGAAGGUAAGAAAGGAGGAUGUACCGAAGACGGCAUUCCGAACUCGGUAUGGACAUUACGAAUUUUUGGUGAUGUCUUUUGGUUUGACAAACGCCCCUGCAGCGUUCAUGGAUUUGAUGAACAGGGUGUUUAAACCAUUUUUGGACAAGUUUGUGGUGGUGUUUAUCGACGAUAUUCUAGUGUAUUCUAAAACUUAAGAGGAACAUGUGGAACACUUACGUCUAACGCUGGAGAUGCUAAGAAAAGAAAAGUUGUAUGCAAAAUUCUCUAAAUGUGAAUUUUGGCUGGAACGUGUACAAUUUCUUGGGCACAUAAUUGACAAGGAUGGAAUUUCAGUGGAUCCAUUAAAGAUUGAAGCUGUGAUAAAUUAGGAACAACCGAGAACUCCAUCAGAAGUGAGAAGUUUCUUGGGAUUAGUAGGGUAUUACAGACGGUUUAUCCAGGAUUUUUCCAAGAUUGUCACUCCGUUGACAAAUUUGAUGAGGAAGUCUGUAAAAUUUGUUUGGACGGAGAAAUGUGAGGAGAGUUUUCAAGAAUUGAAAAAGAAGCUAAGUAUGGCACCUGUGUUGUCAUUACCAGAUAAUACAGGAAAUUUUGUGGUGUAUAGUGAUGCUUCACACAAGGGAUUAGGGUGUGUCCUUAUGCAAAACGGUAAAGUCAUCGCGUAUACAUCAAGACAAUUGAAAGAUUACAAAAGAGGGUAUUCGACUCAUGAUUUAGAAUUGGCGGCGGUUGUGUUUUCUCUGAAGAUAUGGAGACACUAUCUCUACGGAGAGAAAUGUGAGAUUUACACAGACCAUAAAAGUCUGAAGUUUAUUUUCACAUAGAAGGACCUGAACAUGCGUCAAAGAAGAUGGAUGGAACUGAUAAAAGAUUAUGAUUGUGAGAUCUUUAAUCAUCCAGGCAAAGCAAACGUGGUUGCAGAUGCCUUGAGUAGGAAAGGCAGGGAAAAGUUGAUGUUGUUAACUGAUAAGGAGGAGCUUAUUACAGCAAUGUCAAGGUUAGAGUUAGAGAUCAAAUUUCCAAAAGAAUCCGAUGAGAAAUUGUACCAGAUAGAAGCCAGUCCAACUUUGGUGGACAAAGUGAAGAACGCUCAACUACAGGAUGAGGAAUGCAGAAAAAUCAAAGAAAGUGCGGUUGAGGGAAAAGAGGUGAAAUACAAGAUUGAUACCGAUGGAAUGUUGAGAUUUGAAGAACGAAUAUGGGUUCCAGUAGUACCAGAGAUUAAAGAAGAAAUCUUGACCGAAGCUCAUAACUCGAGAUAUUCGAUUCAUCCAGGGAGUACGAAGAUGUAUCAAGAUUUGUGACGACAUAUUUGGUGGCCAAAUAUGAAAAGAGACGUUGCAGAAUGCGUUUCAAAGUGCUUGACAUGUCAGAGAGUCAAGGCCGAGCAUCAAAGACCAAGCGGGUUACUUCAACCGUUGGAGAUACCGGAAUGGAAAUGGGAACAUAUCACAAUGGAUUUUGUGGUAGGUCUUCCAACAACUCAGAAAGGAUACGAUGCGAUAUGGGUGAUAGUGGACAGAUUGACAAAAUCUGCACACUUUUUGCCAAUAAAGAUUAGAUUCAAUCUUGAUCAGCUUGCAAAGUUAUAUGUUAAAGAGAUCGUGUCAAGACAUGGAGUUCCAGUGUCGAUUGUGUCAGACAGAGAUCCGAGGUUCGCAUCAAACUUCUGGAAGAAACUACAAGAAUGUAUGGGAACACAAUUACGAAUGAGUACGGCAUAUCAUCUGCAAAUAGAUGGCCAAAGCGAACGAACGAUCCAGACGUUGGAAGAUAUGUUGAGAGCAUGCGUCAUGGAUUUCAAAGGAAGCUGAGAUGAACAAUUACUGUUGGUAGAAUUUGCUUACAAUAACAGCUACCACAUUAGCAUCGGCAUGUCGCCUUAUGAAGCAUUAUACGGCAGAAAGUGCAGAACUCCACUAUGCUGGGAUGAAGUCGAUGAACGUCAACUGUUAGGACCAGAAAUGGUACAAUAAACUGCUGAGGUUGUCAAACUCAUCAGAAUAAGAUUGAUAGCUGCUCAAGACAGACAAAAGAAAUAUGAUGAUCAACACAGACAAGAUCGUGUAUUUGACAUAGGAGAUUUCGUAUUCCUAAAGGUUUCUCCUUGGAAGGGAAAAAUUCGAUUUGGUAAGAAGGGGAAACUAAGUUCAAGAUUUAUUGGACCAUUCGAAGUGCUGCGAAAGGUUGGAGAGGUGGCUUACGAGGUAUCUCUACCUCCAGAGUUGCAAAACAUUCAUAAUGUUUUUCACGUGUCGGUGUUACGACCAUACAAACCUGAUUACAAGCACGUGAUUGAGUACGAACCACUGCAGUUUGAGAAAGAUUUGUCCUAUAAAGAGAUUCCUAUCCAGAUAGUCGACAGGAAAAAACAGGUGCUCAGGAAUAAGGUGAUACCUUCUGUGAAGGUAAUUUGGAGGAACCACAAUGUCGAAGAGGCUACGUGGGAACUCAAAGCUGAAAUGAUGAAGAAUUACCCUGAGUUAUUUGUUUGAUCUGUGUCUUCAAUUCUGGGGACAGAAUUUUUGUAAGUAGGGGAGAAUGUGACGAAUGAAUUGUUUUAAUUGUGAUUCUGGGGACAGAAUCCUUGUAAGGAGGGAAUGAUGUAACAUUCUAGAAUUUUAAAUGUUAUAUUAAAUAUUUAUUGAAUUAUUUAAAUAUUUAAUGGAUAUGUUUAUUGUUGAAUAAAUAAUUGUUCAAAUUUGAAUUGAUGUGGUUAAUUAUUUGUUAAAUAAAUAAUUAAGGAAAAUUAAUUAUUUUGCUAAUUUAAUUUAAUUAUUAAGUUAGAGAAUUUUGAUUAAUUCAAUUACUAUUCUUUUUAUUGGAAUUUGUAAUUAAAAAGGAUGUGUUGGUUGAUUAAAUAAAGUUAUAAUUAUAUAGAAAUUAUAAUUUUGGUGGUAUUGAUUUAUGUGAUGAAGUGAUUUAAUAAAUUGUUAUUAUGAUUAAUUUAAUUAAAUUAAUGUGUGACAAAUAACCUUGUUAUAAAGGAGUUACUAAAAUAACUUAAAGGAGUUUUAAUUCAGUUUUGCCAAACAAGGCCUAAGGCCUAUUAAGUCUUUAAUUUAUUUGAGUUUUACCAAACAAGGUGUUAGGAUUAAUGGGUUAUUUUGUUAGUGGUUAACCAAACAAGCCUUAUGGCUUUUGAUUUUUAAAACUCAUAUAACUGAUAUCAGUUAUAUGUUUUGUAUUUAUAUUAUAUAAUCAAUAUAUAUUAUAUUCUAUAUACGUUAUUUGUUACGUACGUUAGAUAGAGAGAGAGAAGAAAAGAAAACUCAGAGGAAGAAGAAGAAGAAGAAGAAGAAGAAGAAGAAGGAGGGAAGAAGAAGAGAAGAAGAAAAGAAGAGAGGAAGAAAGGCUAGAGAGUAGAGAAAGGCUUGUCAAGUAAAGAGAUAGCCAUCAUCAUCUUCUUCAUGGUUUCAUCCUACCCUUUUUCUUUUAUGUUUUCUAAAAUUCUAGUUUUCUCUUCUCUAAUUCUCUAUAAAUUCCUUGUGUAAAGAUAAAUUGUCGUUGUUAUGUGGCUUUAUAUUGCAUACUAGUGAUGUUAAAACGAUUUUCAUAAGUUGUAGUCAAUAAAUUGGUAUUAUGUUUAUGGUUGUGAAGAAAAUGUUUUUUACAGAGAGUUUUUAUGAAAAUAUAUUGUUUAGCUUAAAGUAGAAAUUGAGGGUGAAUUAGUGGUUUAGUUGAUUAAUUUAUCGUUUAAUUUGUUAGAGUAUGUAUAAUCAUUGAUAAAGACACUUUGAAAUAGUGGUUUUGGUUGAAAAACAAAAGUUACAGUGUUGAUUUUCAUUCAAAUAUAAAAAAAUGAGAUUUAGCCAAAAAUAGUGAAUUUGGGUGUGUUAAUUUUGUUGUUUAUGUUGUUGUAUGGGUAGAAACAUGUUAGGAAUUCUUGAAUUAUGUUUACAUGAAGUUUUUGUAUGAAUUGUAUGUGAAUCAGUCUGUUAGAAUCGAGCUUGUAGACCAAAAUUAGCUUUUUCCUGCACUAUUGUCGAAGCUGUCAGUCGAAACUGCAGUUUCGGGCCGCGGCGCGGCCUAGCAGUGUUAGUUUCGCGCCGCAGCAUCGGCUCCACGCCGCAGCGCGGCUUUGUAGUUUUGUUCCCGCGCCGCAGCGCCAUUCUCACGCCGCAGCGCGAGUUAGCAGAAUGGUCUUACAGUGUACUUUUUGUACACGAAAUUUUAAGAAAAGUUAUGUGAUGAUAGUAGGACUGCUAAAUGUUGAUUUUAGUAUAUCUAUACUAUGAAUAAGUAUGUUAUUAACAAUUAACUUGUGUUAUAACUCGAUUAUGUGAUUAAAAAUCCAAUUUUUAAAUGAUGAACGUACUUAGUUAUGUUUGUAAGAUGGUAAUGACUAAUUAUGUCAUGAUGACAUAUGUUUAUAGGAUAUUGUGAUUCGUAUUGAUUUGGUUUAGCCUACGAGCAAGGCAAGUUUUCUAAACUUUCUUUUUACAUUGAGCAAGUUCUUUAACUCUACUUUUAGAAUUGUGCAAUCGCUUAAAUUUUCUUUGAGCAAGUUUUUCUAAUCCUUUAUCUUGUUGAACUAAUUAUGGUUUUCAAUUCGAUUAUGAUAUAAUGAUGUAAGUUAUUCUUGAGCAAGUUAUUCUUGUAUUUAACUUGUUGUUUAGCAUGCAAAUUUAUAUAUUCUAAUGUUGAACAUUUUUAUCGAUCAAAUUGUUAUGCAUGCUUAGUAUUCAAUUCUAAUUAACCUUGGCUUAGUAUUGUUCAAGCAAGGUGUUAUAGUUAUUCAAAUUGUAUGCUCUUAGAUUAUUCCUAAAGCAUGACUUUAGUUUACUAUGAUUGAUUCAAUCACGAUUAUUCUAUAGUGAAAUGUUCUUGGUUUCAUUCAACUAAUCCUUAGUUGAUGUUCGUUGAAUUCCAAAUUACCCUGAAAGCUUAUCCAAACCAAACUUCCUUUGGUGCGGACUUGUACUCUAAAUACUGAGAUGAACAACCCUAAUGUUAUGAUUAGGGGUUAACUUACGCGUAGCGUUAAAUGUUUGUGCACAAUACAUGGUACGAAGGGCUGAUCCCCCUAAGUACGAGGAGUCCUUAUAGUCUUAUGACUGUUAAAGUUGGAGUUGAAAGAUUACUCGCAACUGUGGACAUAGUUCAUGGUCUUAUGACCCUCAGUUAUAUUUAUUCCACAUUUUGGAUUUCAGUUUCUGAUUAUUGAUGAUAGAGUACUAUUCAUUGUUGAUGAGCCUAUUAUUGGCAGUUAUUAUUACUAUACUCCUGUUGAUUUCAUAUUGUAUCCAGUGAGCAAUUGUUUUGCUCACUCUUGCAUGUUUAUAAACUCAUUGUAGCUAAAGAGAAGAAGAUAGAUGAACCUUCGACUAGCAAAGGAAAGGAAAAAAUGUGCAAGUGAUGAACACUUGUAAUUUUAUUUUGAUAGAGAUGUUAGAUUUUAUUAUGAUGAUCUUAGACUUAGUUUUAAUGAAGCUUUAUUUAAUUUCCGCAUAUGAAUGAUUGUAUUUAAAGGUUAGAUAACCUUGGAGAUUAUAUUAUGUAACCCUUUAAUGGGAAAGGUUUUAUUUAUCCAGUUUUAUUGAGUUUGGGUAGUUAGAUAUGAAUGUUUGAUUACGUGAACACCAGAUCCUGUGGGAAUGAAGUACCUGGAUUUGGGGGUGUCACAAUAUGUCGGGUUAGAAGAUACCCGAAUUUGGGGGCGUCACAGGUUGGUAUCAAAGCAUUAGGUUAUAGAACUUAAGGGGGAAAUAACUUUAGGCUAAUAACCUCGUAAGGAAGGAAAAGUCUGAAGAAUGAAAUUCAAGUCAAGUGAAUUAAUAAGGUAUUGAGGAAACUCAGUACCGAAAGAUUUAAAAGAUGGAAAUUAAUCCUAAAUAAAUUAAAUGUGAUUUGUGCUUAUACUAUUGUGUAUUAUGUACUAAUCAACGUGUUAUGUGUUUUGUAGAUGUCAAACGAUAGUUUGAUGUUUAGAGACAUUGAAGUGAUAAAUGAGGAGACAGUGAACCAAGUGGAGGUAGUACCGAUGCCAGUGGCGGAGGUACCAUUAGUGGUUUUGGAAGACUCUGAUAUUGAGGAGUACAUCUAUGAGGGGGAAUACUCCGAGGAGACAAUGGGGAUAGCGUCAUAUCUAAAUAUGACGAUUGACGUGGAGGAGGAGAUGGAGGUAACAUCGAUUAACACGGUGAUACCUAUUCAGGAGCCAACACCUCCGGAUGCAAUGAGAUCAUUAUAUCUGGCAGUGUUGGAUAGGAAUGUGCAUCUGCGCACUGUGGUGCAGACACAAAACGAGGAGAUAACCGCCCUCUAUGAGGCGAAGGAAUCUGCAGAGGCAGAUUUUGAGUCAGAGCACAAUGAGAAAGUGCUUAUGACAGAUAAGGCAUGUGACUAUAAGGAAGAGGCCGUAAAGCUUCGAAAGAAACUGGUUGAAAAAGAACAGAAAAUAGAUAGGAUGUCAUACAUCCACGAAUGUGCUCAUAAGGAUUUCAAGCUGAAAAUUGCUUGUUAUUCUAUUGAGUCAGGGAAGACUCGGCAUACCAUAAGUCGAGAUAUUGUGUCGAUACUAGCAAAUCAGAAAUAUGAGAAUGUCGUUCGACAGUGUUAGUAGAUCAUUGGAUCUUUUUGUAUAUAGGUAGUGACAUAAAACCCUCUUUUGUAUAAUUAAAGGGUAGUCUUUUUGUAAAUCCCAAUUUUUGUAGAAGGGAAACGCGGGAUAGUAUGUAAUAGCUUUUUGGCUAAGGGAACAUGAUGUAAAUAGUUUUGAUUAUGAAAGCAUAUUAUUAUAAUGAAGUUUUUAUUUAAUGUGUUUGUUGUGGUAUGAGUUGUUAUUUGAGAAUGAUAACCAAGCAGUUAAAUAAAUAAUAACGAAACUUUAUUUUUUAAUCAGAAUUAUGCAACCAAGGAGGAGACAACGUAACCAAGAGGCUGAGUCUUAUAAUGAAAAUCAAGGGGGUCUUAAUAACCCUAUGCAAGAGUUCGUUAAUUUAUUAACGACAUCAAUUAACCAAGUUGGGGGAGGGAUUCCUGUAGCUCCUGGAUUAGUAAGAACAACUACCUUCAAGGAAUUUAAGAGUGUGGGUCCUCCUGAGUUCAGAGGAACGACGGACCCUUUAGAGGCCUAGACAUGGGUGAAAGAGAUUGAGAAGGCAUUUGUAAUUACAAACGUAGGUGAGGCGCAAAAGACUUCUUUUUCAACUUACAUGAUGAAGGGGAAAGCCAACUACUGGUGGGAGGCUCACCAGGGUGGGGCUAGGACCGAAGUUGUUACGUGGGAAUAGUUUAAGAAGGUCUUCUUCAAGAACUACUUCCCUACUAGCAUGCAAGGUAGGAUGAAGAUUAAGUUCUUAGAACUUAAGCAAGGGGAUAUGACAGUUCCCCAAUAUGCUGCCAAAUUCAAUGAAUUGGUGAGGUUUGCUCCACAUUUGGUGGAUACAGAAGCAAGAAAGGCACGUAGGUUUGAGCAGGGCUUGAAACCCUGACUCUACAGUAGGAUAUCAAUUUUUUAGAGUGCCUCCUACGGGACCAUUCUGGAAAAGGCGAUAAUAGCAUAAGGUGGUGGUGAGGCAUUGUCUCAGUACCACAAAGAGCGGAAGAAUAAGAGUAAGUUAGAAGGAGGUAGUAUGGCUGAAGUUGUCAGCGGAAGCGGGAACUUGCCUAAGAGGAAGAGUUUCAACCCUGGGAAUACUGGGGUAAAACAGGGAGAUCCUAAGCGUAGGACGGAGGCAUGCAAGACAUGCGGAAAGACUCAUAUGGGAGUCUGCUUAAAGGGGGAAUUAGUUUGCUACAACUGUGGGUGGGAGGGACAUUUGUCACCCAACUGUCCUAACCCUAAGAAGAACCAUGGGUGUUUUGUCUAUGGAUCGUUGAACCACAUGGCAAGGAAUUGCUCGAAGAAAGGGUAAGAGGGAAAUAAGGGUUCUGGUAGUGGUAAAUUAGCCAUUACUGGACCAACACCAUCAGUGGGUAGACCCUCAGCUCGUACAUUUAAUAUGACUGUCCAAGAUGCGGUUGCAUCAAUGGAUGUGGUAGCAGGUAUCAUUCCGGUCAAUGAGAUAAAUGCUUAUGUGUUAUUUGACUCGGGUGCUACUUGUUCUUUUAUAGCAUAUGAAUUUGCUAAGCGAUUAGGUUUAAUCCCUGAAAAGUUAUCAAUACCUUUAGACGUUAAGGUAGCCAAUGAAGAUAUAAUCCCCAUUGAACAUAUUCAUAAGGAUUGUUGCGUAGAUAUUAGAGGGAAUAAGUUAUCGGUAGAUUUUGUACCGAUAAGGUUAAAAGAAUUCGAUGUAAUUCUUGGUAUGGAUUGGUUGGUUAACCAUAAGGCGAUAAUUGAUUGCCAUAGGAAAAGUGUAAACCUUCGGCUUUCUAAGAAAACCAAGGUAGUGUUCUUGGGUAGUAAAUCACCGAGACGCUCUUGUUGUCUAUUGAUGACAUAAGCUAGGAAGAUGUUGAGGAAAGGGUGUGUAGGUUAUCUGUGCCAUGUUGUGGAUACCCAAAGAGUGGGAACAUCCUUGGACCAGAUACCUAUAGUGCAAGAGUUCGCGGAUGUAUUUUCGGAGGAGUUACCGGGUAUUCCACCGGAUAGGGAGGUUGAGUUUGUAAUUGAUCUGUUACCGGGAACGUCACCAGUUUCAAGGGCACCAUAUCGGAUGGCGCCAGUUGAGAUGAAGAAGUUAAUUGUUCAAUUGCAAGAAUUAUUAGAUAGAAAGUAUAUUCAACCGAGUGUGUCUCCUUGGGGAGCACCGGUAUUGUUUGUAAAGAAAAAAGAUGGGUGGUUAAGACUUUGUAUCGACUAUCGAGAGUUGAACAAGUUAACGAUUAAGAAUAAAUACGCAUUUCCCAGGAUCGAUGAUUUAUUUGAUCAGUUGAAAGGGGCAAAGUAUUUUUCUAAGAUAGAUUUGCGCACGGGGUAUCAUCUGUUAAAGGUGAAGAAGGAGGAUGUACCUAAGAUGGCGUUCAGAACUCAUUAUGGUCAUUACGAGUUUCUGGUGAUGUCAUUUGGGUUGACUAAUGCUCCAGCCGCAUUUAUGGAUAUGAUGAACAUAGUGUUCAAACAGUAUUUGGACAAGUUCGUCGUAGUAUUCAUUGAUGAUAUUCUAGUCUAUUCAAAGACGCUAGAAGAUCAUGUCGAACAUUUAAGGAUAGUAUUGGAAACACUAAGGAAGGAAAGGUUGUAUGCAAAAUUCACAAAGUGUGAAUUUUGGCUCGAGAGAGUGCAGUUUCUAGGACAUGUUAUUGAUAAAGAUGGCAUUUUCGUAGAUCCAGCAAAAGUGGAAGCAGUUAAUGAGUGGGAGCAACCGAAAAUGCCAACUGAGGUUAGGAGUUUUCUGGGGUUAGCGGGAUACUAUAGAAGGUUCAUUCCUGACUUUUCUAAAAUAGCUACUCCGUUGACGAAUCUAACAAGAAAGUAGGUAAAGUAUGUGUGGACUGAAAAAUGUGAGAACAGUUUUCAGGAGUUGAAGAAGAGGUUAAGUGAGGCACCUGUAUUGUCCUUACCAGACGAUACAAAAAAUUUUAUAGUGUAUAGCGAUGCUUCACAUAAAGGACUGGGUUGCGUGCUCAUGUAACAUGGUCAGGUCAUUGCGUAUGCGUUACGUCAAUUAAAGGAUUAUGUGAAGGUCUAUCCUACUCAUGAUCUAGAAUUGGCAGCUGUAGUUUUUGCCUUGAAGAUAUGGAGGCAUUAUCUAUAUGGUGAGAAGUGUGAGAUAUAUACAGACCACAAAAGUCUGAAAUAUAUCUUCAUGCAAAAGGAUUUGAACAUGAGAUAGAGAAGGUGGUUAGAGUUAAUAAAAGAUUAUGACUGUGAUAUUUUAUAUCAUCCGGGGAAAGUAAAUAUAGUAGCUGAUGCGUUAAGUAGGAAGGGUAGAGAGAAACUAUUAAUGUUAACAACUCAGAAUGAGUUGGUAACAAUGAUGGCAAGAAUGGAGUUAGAAGUUAAGUUACCGGAGGAAGCGGUGGAAAUAUUAUUUUCCAUGGAAACCCAACCAACCAUAGUGGAACGGGUUAAGGGAGUACAAUUGAGCAAUAAGGAAUGCGAGCAGAUGAAGAAGAGGAUAGAAGAUGAAGAAAAGACUAAGUAUAACCUCGAUAAAAGGGAUUACUUCAUUUUGAAGGAAGAAUUUGGGUUCCCAAUGAUCCUGAAUUAAAGGAAGAAAUAAUGAUGGAGGCCCAUAGUUCGAGGUACUCGAUACAUCCUGGUAGUACGAAGAUGUAUCAAGAUCUUCGUCAGAACCUUUGGUGGCCGAACAUGAAAAGGGAGAUAGCAGAAUACGUUAGUAGGUGCUUAACUUGUCAAAAAGUUAAGGCUGAACACCAAUGACCGAGUGGGUUGUUGCAAUCAUUAGAAAUUCUAGAGUGGAAAUGGGAGCACAUCACAAUGGAUUUUGUGGUGGGACUUCCAAUAACAAGAAAAGGAUAUGAUGCUAUUUGGGUGACAGUGGAUCGAUUGACGAAAUUGGCUCAUUUUCUACCAAUAAGAGUUAGGUAUAACCUAUAUCAGUUAGCUAAGCUGUAUGUCAAGGAAAUUAUUUCCACACAUGGAGUACCUGUUUUGAUUGUGUCAGAUCGUGAUCCACGAUUCACAUUGAACUUUUGGAGGAGUUUGCAAGAGUAAAUGGGAACGCAGUUAAGAUUGAGUACGACGUAUCAUCCUCAGACGGAUGGUCAGAGUGAACAGACAAUUCAAAUGCUGGAAGAUAUGUUAAGAUCUUGCAUUAUGGAUUUCAAAAGGAGUUGGGACGAAUAUCUACCGUUGGUGGAAUUUUCGUACAACAAUAGUUUUUACGCUAGUAUAGGCAUGCCGCCUUACGAAGCAUUGUAUGGAAGGAAGUGCCAAACUCCAUUGUGUUGGGAUAAGGUGGGUGAACGUCGGAUGUUGGGACCUGAGAUGGUACAGCAAAUGACAGACAUGGUGAAGAUAAUACGUGCUCGAUUAGUUGCAGCCCAAGAUAGGCAGAAGAAGUAUGCAGAUCCUCACAGAGAAGCAAAAAUUCGAUUUAGGAUCUUUUGUCUUUCUAAAAGUAUUGCCUUGGAAGGGGAAGAUACAUUUUAGGAAGAAAGGGAAGUUAAGUCCAAGAUUUGUAGGACCUUUUGAGAUUUUAAGAAGGGUAGGAGAGGUAGCUUAUGAAGUAGCCUUACCCCUAGAAAUGGAACGCAUUCAUAAUAUGUUUUAUGUGUCUGUGUUGCGUCCUUAUAAACUGGACUACAAACACAUAAUAGAGUAUGAAUCUAUUCAGAUAGAGAAAGUUUUAUCAUAUGAAGAACUUCCGAUUCAAAUUAUUGAUAGGAAGGAGCAAGUAUUAAGAAAUAAGGUAAUACCUUCAGUGAAGGUGUUAUGGAGAAACCACAAUGCUGAAGAAGCAGCGUGGGAACUCGAAAGUAAAAUGAAGGAAAAUUAUCCUCAUUUGUUCAUGUAAUUUUAAGCUAGAUUUUGGGGACAAAAUCCUUAUAAGGGGGAGAGAAUGUAACGCUGGAGAAAAUCGAAUUUUUAUGACAAUUAAAUUUUUAUUUGAUUAUGUGAGUUAAAUGAAUUUAAUUGAUUUAUUUUAUGAGUAAGCUAUGUGAAGGUCGUUCUAUGACCUAGAAUGUGUUUAUGUGGUUAGUAAUCUGGCUACGUGCUAGAAUUAAUUGUUUAGAAUUUUUGAGAUGAAAAUAAAUGUUUUCUGAGAAAUUUUCGUAAAAACACUAUUUAUCUGUUUCUGCUCGGGGAAUUAUUUUGAAAUUUUGAGAAACGCGUAAUGAUAAGAUAUGUAGAUGAGAUGAAAUAUCUAAUAAUAUUUUAUUUAUGGCAAACAAAGUUUUCGCAUGCGGACUUAAAACCUAAGGGUUGAGUAUAUUGAUUUCCGAUAAGGAAAUGAAACGCGUAGAAGGAAUUACGAUAUUGUUAAAGUGUGUGUUAUACUAGUAUGAUACUAUUUCGUAUCUAUGUAUAAUACGAUGAGUUUAUACGGAGUACAAUACGAUUAUCGUACGAGUAUUAUGCGGAGAGAAUACGUGAAUUAUACGUAUGGAAUAUGAUUUGUAUUAUAGAAUUAAGUUAAGACUUAAGGUUAAUUCAAUUGGGUUGGAUUAUGAUUAGUCCAAUCACUUGAAUGAGCAAGCCUAAGGGAUUAGUUGUUAAGCCCAAGUCAAGGUCCAAUAUUAAAUUGGUUAAGCCCAAUGUAAGGAAGCCGUACUGGUGGGUCACCGAAUGGGUAAAACCAAUGGGGCAACCCAUGGGGAUAACAUAUGGGCAUGGUGGGUCGGCCCUUGGCGUGCAAGGCAAGCCUAACACUUGGUCACCAAGUAUUUUACUUGGUGACAAAGUGUUGAAUAGUAAGGAGGUGGUGGUGUAUUGACCAAAUUGCCCUCCAUUUCAUUUGCCUAUAAAUAGAAAGCUAAAGUUGGUCUUUUGUGAGUUUUUCAAAUUGCCAACCUAGAAUUUGAGAUAGAGAGAGAGAGAGAGAGCUAGACUCAACCAAAAGUUCUACUUUGAAGCUUUGCAUAAGAGGUUUCCAGAUUUCCUAAGAAUUCUUAAGGUAAUAUUCCUUAAUUCUAAUUCCAUCUAUUUUGGUUUUCUUUUAGUAUGGAGAAUCAUAAAUGGGUGGUGGAUGGCUUGUAUGGUGGAAUAAGAAUGACUUACCAUAGAUUCAAUCUCUAUAAGUCAUGAGAUCAUAAAAAUCAUAAGGGUUGUUAUAGUUUAAAAUCAUGAAAUUAUUGAUUGUUGAGAUUGAUUGUUGAUAAACAAUUGUACUCCAUCAAAAUGUUAAUAUGUGCAUCUUGCUUGGUUAGGAUGUAGAUAUGAAGUCCAUGCAGUAUUCCAUGUGAUUUGGCUUAGAGAACGUUAGUAACGAAGUUAUGGUGAAUUUCACGGAAAUAGACGUUAAAUGUCGAAAACGUUGAAAUUCUGAAUUGGUAGUCAAAAGUUGCCCUGAGACUUGAAAAUGUUGUUUUUCAAUGUCAACACGUGAGGUAGGGUAUUUAAGAGUCGUGGGUUUGAAAAUCGUCGGAUUCUGACUUAAAACCAAGAAAACGAGCAUUGAACGCUCAUUAACGUUUACGAACACUUAAAAAAUGAACUCAAUAGUGAAUUUUGAGUUAACGGAUUUGAAAGUGUCCAAUUCUUAUAUGAACGCGUAGAGUAUGUCAAUUAUGACGUGUAGGCUUUUGAAUGGACCAAAUCGGACUUAUAACGAAGAAGUUAUGGCUCUGAGAAAUUCACCAAAUUUUUAUCUGUUGGAAAAAUUCUUGUACUGAGGUCUGGCGCCAGACAGUGCUUAAAUUGCCGCGCCACAGCGUCGGCACAGUGUAGUUGGCAAUUAGAAAGUGGCGCCGCAGCGCCACUUGUAUAGGGAAGUCUCGCGCCGCAGCACCAAGACCGAGACCUGGGUACUGCUAACUGGCGCUGCAGCGCCAGUCUUGUACUAAGAUGUCACGCCGCGACGCGGGUGUAGGGUUUUUGAUAGAUGACUUAGGUUUUGAACUUCAAUUGUUCAAGGACCUAUAGAAGUAAAAUUUAUGCACUUCAUAAGUGUACUAAAACUAUUCAUAUACUAACUAUACUAAGGUAUAUAGUAUUGAAACUUAGGAAUUGAAUGCAUGUUAGUAAGUUAUGAAUGAAGGACACAAAGUGUUAUCAAUGAACCCUAAUAGGGAAAUAACGUUGGUACUUUGCCAAUGAUGAUAGAGUCCGGUUAAUAACGUAAGUUGAUUAAUAAGUCAGGACGAAGGGUAAUAAGUCGAGGUGACUUUAUUAAUGAUAUUAAGUUAACAAAGACAUAGAAGAGAAAGAAGUUGGUAGGAACAAUGUGAAUAAUUGUUUGAUAGCUAAUUACAGUGUGAUAUGUGAAUAUAUCAUGUAGAUUAUGUAAAGGCUGUGGUCAGUCGAUUAAGUUAUUUGAAGACCCUGAAAGGCAAGUUUUCUUAACGCUUGUCUAACCUUCAAGUUAGUCAAGUUUAAUGUGAUUCAUUGUACUGAAUUGCACGACUGAUUUUAAAGAAAGGGUCAACGCCAGAUUUAACUCGGCUAGACUACUCGUAAGAUAUAGAUUGAUUGAUAUUCAUAUCUUUCUAUAUAGAAAUGCUAACGUUAUCCUAUGCCAAGUAAUUGGUACGAAUGUGAAGGUAAGGUUUGUCUAUGAACAAACAAAAGUAUUUUUAAUCGAUUAUUCGAUGGGCACGCGAGUUUGCCAAAUGUUAAACGUAAAUACAUUUAAUGAAUGAGUGUUGAUCAACAUAGAGUACUAUAGGCUGAUCACCUAGAAGUGCUCGUAAGUAAUGCGGAUGUACAAUCUUAGUGCUGUGAUAUCCUUUUCAAGUAUGAAAAUAGAAAGCUAUUGUUCAUGGUCUAUCGACCGUUUCAGAAUUACUAAUCUACUCUAUACUUUGGGAAUUGAUGUUAUGAAAUGUUAAAGUAUUAUUGGUUCAUAAUACUUCAUAACUAUUUGUUCAGUUAUGUAUGAAUUAUUAUAUAAUUCACGAAUGUGGUAUUACUGUUAUCCUUUGAUAAACUUGUUGAGUUUGUUAUGCUCACUUCUUGCGUGAAUUAUAUGAUUGCAGUUAAGGAUGAACGUACUGAAAAUGCAAAGAGAGAUAAGGGCAAAGCUAAGAUGGAUACUUAGUCAUUGUGUAAUAGAUUAGUAUGUUUGUAUGUAUUAUACAUUAUGAACAACGAACUAUGUAAUCGGUUUAUGAACUUGGGAAGGAUUAUACUUUUAUUGUAAUAAGAAGAUAGUAAUUACAUUCAUUAUGUUGUAUUUCAAUGAAAUGAUUGUAUAGUUAUGAGUACCGUGUUGCACCAUAUGUCGGGUUGGAAGAUACCCGAAUUUGGGGGCAUCACAGGAACUAUUUUAGUUUUAAGCUUUCUAAGAAUUUAGAUCUCAUUAGAAUGAUCAUCAUCAUUAUUCUAAAAGCAUUGCUUAAAACUCUGGGUUUAUCACAUAUUAUAAAACAACAUCAUGUAGAUAAUUAAAAGCCUUUAAUAAAUUAAUACUUUUUAUUAAUAAAUGAAUAAGAUUGUUUCAAAGUAUAUGCUUUAUCAUCAAACAUGAUUGGCUUAUGUGUAUAUUACUUUCAACUUGGUGUAAAAACUACUUAGUUUUGGCACUGAUAAUCAUUGAAAUGUUUGUGUCGCGCUAUUUGCUAUAUACCUGUUGAGAAGGUGAUUCUUUUCUCAUGUGUAUAACAGAUAGAUAGGUUAUAGUUAGAGAAUAUAAGGUUAAGUUACGAGUUCUUAAAACUCAUACUUAUGGUACGUUCGUGACUCAUAAUUAUAUGAAAUGUUUUUGAACCCCUCAACGAAUGGACGCCUAUGGUCUGACUAGGGUAAGUUCUUAAACUCAUAUAAUUGUGGCAAGUUCUUGAAUUUUCAAAGUGUGGUAAGUUUGAUGAACUAUACUGGAUAUAUAUAUAUAUAUAUAUAUUAUGAAGUUAGAAAUUUUGGUAUAGUAGGCAUUGAUGGUGUUAGAGAUUGAUAGAAUGAAGCGAUGGAGUAAAGAUUGAAGUUGAUGGAGAAACAUGGAUUCUCUAAAUCUUCUAGCUCUGCUAGAUUUUCAAAAUUUAUUGAUUUCGUGCUGAUGUUUGCACUUCUGUUUUCUUGAAAAACAUUUGAUCAUGUGAUUGAAGCAAUGAUGUUUAAAAAUAAUAUCGUCAUUCUUUUGUCUAUGCUAAUUGUUUCGGCUAAGACAAAAAAUGAUUUGAAAAUUUUCAAAAUGUAUUUCUAACCAUUUACAUCAUUUGGUAUGGUCUAGAAAUAUUAAAUGAUAAAGUCAUCAAUGCAGUUGUACCUAGUGUUGGUUGUGAUCGAAAGAUUGUCAGCCAAUUUUGGUAUGAUAUAGUAUGACAAAGUCACAUAAUGGCGGAAUCCUCAACAUACUACUAAUGUAGUACGGUAUCAUGACGUCAUAAAAUAAUUUUUGGUUUUCUUUUAAAUUAUGAAGAAGGUCAAAUUAAGUUGGCUAAAUUAUUUCGAUUGAUGUCCGAGUUAUUGAUACUAGUCUAAGAUAUUUGAUUCAGCUAGAUGGCUAUUGAAAAAUAUUUAUGUAAUUCAAGCGUUCUUGAGUAUUUAUGCCAAACCAGAUUGCUCUGGUGCAAAUUCAAAUGUGGAAAAGCUGAGGUGAACAACCCUAUAAGGGGACAUGUUUUUAGGGACAAUGGUUCCGAGCGUAACGCAUGUAAUCGUUACAAAACACUACGUUGCGGCCCAAUGUAGUGGUACAAUAGGCUGGCGACCUAGUGUACACGUGGAGGGUGUUUUCAGUCUUUGUUAUUGAUAAACACUCUGGUUUGCAGUGUGAAGAAUUUUGUUGAUGCAUUAGUAAACCUAGAGAAGAGUUCACGAUCUUGUGACCCCUCAUCAUAAUUUGGAAUCUGAGUUAUUCAUACUACUUCCCGAUUAUUGAAAAAUCAUGGAAGAUUCUUAUUCUUCUGAAGGAUGAAUGUAGUGAGUAGAAUGUUCCUUAGAAAGGAGAAUGUGGUAGAAUGCAAGUGAGCAAGUUAUAAUGAAACUUCCAAAAAGAGAAUGGAUAAAAUUAUUCAAAAGAAUAUGUAAUAUUCAGAAUAGCACCGAGUAGAGGAGGUUUUGGUGAUUCCGAGGACGGAAUCCUUAUAAGGGGGAGAGGAUGUAAGAACCUGAAUUUUUAGAAAAAUAUUAAAAUAAGAAUUUAGUAGAUAAAAUUCUUAAGGCAUGUGAAGGGUUCAAAUAAAAAUAUAUAAUAUGUUACGAGGUAUGUGGUAUUGUGUUACAUAGGGUAUUAUGCGCUAUGUAAUAAGUGAGGUUGUGUUUAAUAAAUAUAUAUAUCGUUAUUAUAUAUUUGUUAUAAAUUAUGGAGAUGAAUUAAUAUGAAGAUGGAUAAAGUUUUAUCUAUUGAUAUUAAAUUAUUUAUGUGAAAAUUAUUUUAUAAUAGUAAGUUGGUGACAUUAAAAUAUCUUUGAUAAUCAAAAAUUCUUGAGUAUUUGUACGAGUACGUAUCAAGUCUAAGGUAGUGCAAUCGUACUCUUUAAUGGUGGAUGUAUAGGAGCUGGGCUAAACGAUUCCUUCAGAGAGCGGAGGUAUAUACGAAUUAGUAACCGAUCUAACUCACUGUGAAAACAAUGUCGAUGAGACGGAAACCACUCAGUGUACUAUAUUGAAUACUAUUAAAGACUCGAUGGGUGUUAGGUUUAGACUUGUAUGUGUGUACGUUGAUGACGAGAGAAGAAAAUCAAUAUACCUUUAAAGUGGUUAGAGAAUUAUUGAGUAAAUUGAUAUACAGCGAGAAGUGAUUAUUAAAGGAAUGUAUGUAUGUGUUGUAUUCGAUAUUUGUGUUAUUGGUGGUAAGAAACCAUAAAGAAAAUGUAUAGUUGGUUAAACUAAUAAGGGAAAUAGAGUUUUAAAACUUGAAGUGUGAUCCUUAAAUUGUUAAAAAAAAUAGUAAUCCAUGAGGUGGAAUGAAAAAAGGGAUUGAUGUUAGACAAGUUAAUAUUUAAGGAGGAUGUAAUACCCGAAAAUUUUCACAUCUUAUUAAAUGAAUAUAUUAGUGGAAUAAAUAUUUAUUGAAUAUAAAUGUUAAUGUUUUGUAAGUUGAGUAAUUAAAUUGAUUCGCAUUGGAUUAAUAUGAAUUAAGAAGUUUGGAAAUGUGAUGAGAAUUACGAAAUGCCUUGUGUAGAAUAAUGUGAAAUGAGGAAUUUCACUAAGCGAAUUAAAAAGGGAAUUAGGAAGAUUAAUCGUGUCUGAUUAUGUGAUUUCAUGUAGUUAAUGAGUACACUCUUAGAUUGGUGAUAUCACUCUUGAGGACAUUAAUUCAUGUCGUAUAAAAUGAGUUUGGCGAUGAAGGUCGACACUGGCUUGAAGCUAAACCAGUCUUGGCACUGUCAGGGUACGGCGCAGCUGCACCGUCCCAGCAAUACAAACUGACACAGCUGCGCCAAUGAUCAGUUGAAGUUAGUUACUUGCUUUUGUAGCACUGAAUUGGGACAUUAAUGUUAUAUGUGUGACAUAAAUAAAACCAUAUGAUAGGAGUAUAUUGAAAUGAAAUGAGGUACCUAGUAGCACCAUGGUAUCAUAUGAAGUUGUAAUGCAUAAAUGAUUAAUUAUCUGGGUAUUCUAGAAUCUAAGAAAGGAAUUCAAUGUUUUAAAUAAACAUUAAUAUUAAAUAAAGUUAUAAUGUGAUUAUGUGAGUGGUAGAGAUAAUUAUGGGAUUACUCGGACAAUAAUGCCUAACUGCGUUGUUUUAUUGCAUGUAUUUUAUGUACAUGGAUUAUAUGAUGUGAGUAUAAAACUUAUCUUUAAAUUCCUAAUAUGGUAACAAUUGUACCUUAAUAUUACAUUAUGGGGAUUAAAAGAACCAAACCAAGCCUUACAUGCCCAAAUGCUGAGAUAUUUGCUCUUGUCCCAAAUUAAGUGUCACAAAGGACAUGAAUAGUGACUUGAAGCUAAAACACGUAUUUUCCAAAAAGGUUAUUGAAUAGGUGAUCAUUUUCUAAGAAGAUGGUUGGUAAGGGUGGUUGAUCAACUCUUAAUUAACCAAUGUAUUGUUCAAUUACACCAUAAUCCAACCUUGGUGUAAUACCAAUGUCUAGUCCAAGCUUCUUCUAUAAAUAUAAGCUUAAAUUUAGUUUUUGGUGUUGAUAGAAGUUGCUUGAUAGUCGAAUUGGAGGGUUAUAAGUUGCUGAGCUACUAUAGAAGUAUACUCAGAGUGUAGGAAGUUCAAUUCAAGCUCAAAAAGGUAUAAAUUCUAAUUGUGUUCUUAAAUUGGGUCUUGUUUAAUUCAUAAAAUUUUUUGAAUUCAUAUGUCAAUUGAUAUGAAUUAACAUGUUAUAAUGUGUUUAAGAAAUUCACUUACAUGUGUGAACUCUUUUAUGAUAGUUGGAACAAGUUUAAACUCGUUAGAAAUCAAGUUAGCUAAGACUCUGUAAAACAAAGUCUGCUUCUGCUCCUGAACCAGACAUGGCGCAGCUACGCCCUAAUUGAACCAGGGUGCAGCGCAACUACGCCAUCCUCUGAGUUAAGUUAAGCCUUCUGUUUUAAAAAUCUGAUAAGUGUGAUCAAUUAUUAUGGCUUAAGCCAACAUGCAAGCAUGUGUAACAUGUAUAUAUAAGUAUAAUAAUCUAUUGUGAGCAUGUUUUACUAAGAUUAGCAUGAUUUGGUAGAAGAUCUUUAACAAGGACUCUAUGUUUCGAAAACAAACUUUGUUAAAGUUCAUGUUCUGCAAAUUUGAGCUUAGCGGUCUAUACACAUGACUGAUUUUACACAUAAAUAAGCAUGCUUAGUGUACAUAGUUCCUUUGUUUAUAAUCAAACUCAUUAGACCUUGUGUGAAAGAAGUUUUUAAGAAAACUUGGUAUAAAAGAACUAAGGUGCAUAAAGACUACUUGCUAUACAUUCUGAUCUUGCGAGCAUGUUAACAUGACUUGACUACAUAUGAAUAGAGCCUUAAAGUUGCCUUAUAUGUGUUUAAUGAAAUUGUUCAAGUUUAAAAUGGUUUCAAAAGCAAACUUGAACAUAUUUUCAAAAUCAAGUUGCAUCAUAUGGAAGUGCAAAGCAGGAAGUGCAAAAUCUAGUUGCAUCACAUGUCAAAAUCUAGUUUGGACAGAAAUAGGAAGUGCAAAGCUCAAUGCUUUUCUGGCCAUGGGACAGCGUAGCUGCGCCAUCCCUAAUCCUAGACAUGGCGCAGCUGCGCCAUUCUGCAGUCUAGAAUAGGUUCUGGUUUUGAUCUGAUGUUUGAAGCAUGCUUGUAUAAUUACUAUAUAUAAUCAGUAUGGUAUGUAAUGUGUUAAGAAGUAUUCUAUGUGAUAAAGAUGAAUGUUAAUCAUGACUUUCGAAUGUUAAGUCCAAAGGAAUAUUUACAUGAGAUAAAGCAAUGAUACGUUGUUUGAAUGAGUGAUGUGACAAUCUAAUUUGUGUUAUAUAGGUGAUGAUGUAUAAAGUUACAACUAAGUUAGACGUUUGUGUGUACGGUUGAACUUACCUAAAUGAGUUUUAAAUGUGUUGAACACAUAGCGAGUCAAGUGCGUGAUAAAUAUAUAUGAAUGUUGAUGUCAUGUAUAAGUGGUUAAGGUAUACCUAUACGUACCUAGCUAUUCUGAGAAUAUGAUGAGAAAGUGGAAUGUAGGUUUUACGAACCUAGUUAGGAAACUAUGUAACAUUAUUAUUACAUUGAGAAUGCAUGAAAUAUGUUACUGAUGGAUAUGAAUCCAUGAUUAUAUAACUAUGUAGGAAUACACGAAGUACAGAUAAGCUUUAAACAGUUAAGUCGUAGUUGAUAAACUACGAAUCAGGCAAGUCUUUCGGUUCCUAUUUGUUAUAUGAAUUCAAUAACUGUUAGUUGAGCUAUAUUAUGCCAUGAGAAUGUUGAUGUAUAUAUAUAUAUAUGAAAUGCGUAUGAGAUAUGUAUGAAAUGUGAAAGUUGAUCUUUGAUGAUAUGCUUAUGAUAUAAACUUAUAUGUCUGUUAUAUGAGAUGUAACAUGCGUAGUAAAUAUUGAUUGAUUAUGGAUGCAUAAACUGUGUAUGUUAUUAUAUGCUACGUGCUGCAUGAAAACUGUUAGAAUUGCUGGGCUGUUGAGCUCACCCUUGCAAUUUGUAACACCCCAGUCCCUCAUCGAAAGAUAGGGGAAAAAUUUGUCUGCAUAUAAGGAAAUAAGUUACUACCAAUAGUACCUUCAAGUCAUGACCUUUUGGGUGAGCCUGUGGUGGGCUAAGCUGACCCAAGAAGAUACUAUUGGGCCAGUAGUUUGAGGCCUUAUUUUGAUAGAUUUGAUUCGAUUUGGACUUGGGAUUUGACCCGAGAUUUGUUCUGGACUCGGGAUUUGACCUGGGUUGUUACAUAUGGUAUCAGAGCCGACUCUUGAAAGCUCGGGUCGGGUCAUCCAAUCGGGUUUCCGGAGGUGGGGACACGAAGGCUGGUGGUAUUAUCCCACAAUGGAGAGAUGAAGGUCCGUAGGUGGGGACACGAAGCCAGCCGGUAUUAUCCCACAAUGGCUAAAGAGGCAAAGAUCUUUGGACUGUGUGUGUGUGAUCGGUUCUGACGGGGAUGUCAGAAAUUUAAGUGGGGGAGUUUGUAACACCCCAGUCCCACAUCGAAAGAUAGGGGAAAAUUUUUUCUACAUAUAAGGAAUUAAGUUACUACCAAUAGUACCUUCAAGUCAUGACCUUUUGGGUGAGCCUGUGGUGGGCUAAGUUGACCCAAGAAAAUAGUAUUGGGCCAAUAGUUUGAGGCCUUAUUUUGAUGGAUUUGAUUCAAUUCGGACUUGGGAUUUAACCCGAGAUUUGUUCCGGACUCGGGAUUUGACCUGGGUUGUUACACAAAUAACCACUUUUGCAGGUUAAGGACUCACGGUAAAGAUUGUGUGCUACUUAAUUGAUAAAGUUCAAUAGCAUCGAAGGAUAUUGAUUUACUUAUUUAAAUAUAUGUUCUUGAACCAUGUCUAAGUUCUAUGAGUGGUACAUGAUAGUAGUUUACGAUGUGUAAUACAUGUUAAGUUGUACUAUGAUAUACAUAGAGAAUUUUGAAUCGAGAUGUAAAGAUUUAUACUUUAAUUUGAAUAGAGGGAAUCAUACCAUAAUUUGAUUCAAUGAUUUGUAAUUGAUUCAAGUUAAGAAAUCAAUAAAAGAUUAUUUUUCAAAGGAGAUUGAAAAGUUUAAAUUAUUCUUCAUAUUUUUAUAACAUCGAAUAUGAUGUAAGGAAGGAAUGGUAAAUGACCAAGAUUUGAAACUUAUAAAAGUUUGUGGUCAUUACAUAGAUCUUGGAAAUGGAAAGAAUUUAUAUUCUAAAUUGUAAUAAGUAAAGUCAUAUUCAAUAAGUUAUGAAUAAAAGAUAUAAAUAGUUUGACGAUAGUAGUAUCGUAGCAGACAGAAUCUGAGGUUCAAAGGGACCUGGAUUUGGGGGCGUCACAGAUACUAUGACAAUCUCAAGUCCAAGGAUCACUUGUACUACUAUCACUACAGGAAUUCCUAUUGACAGGCAAGUAAAACUCCAUUAGGCAUUCCUUAGAGAGCCACGUUCAGUGAACUUAUUCUCUAAUAAGAACCUACAUACUUGCUUUAGUGUCUCCACACAAAUGAUCAUGAGAUCAAUCAUCCUCAUCCAAUGAGAAAGCAACGUAUGUACCAAUCUAUCCAGAUUCACUAAUCCUUAAUUUAGUAAUCUAACGAUUGGGAACUAUUUUAGUUUUAAGCUUUUUAAGAAUUUAGAUCUCAUUAGAAUGAUCAUCAUCAUUAUUCUAAAAGCAUUGCUUAAAACUAUAGGUUUAUCAUAUAUUAUAAAGCAGCAUCAUCUAGGUAAUUAAAAGCCUUUAAUAAAUUAAUACUUUUUAUUAAUAAAUGAAUAAGAUUAUUACAAAGUAUAUGCUUUAUCAUCAAACAUGAUUGGCUUGUGUGCAUACUACUUUCACUAAUAAACAUCAAUAUUAAGUAAUCAAGAUUAGUUAGGAUUAGGGCAAAAUUAAGCUACUAAUCUAACCUAAAUAGCUCACAAGUAGGAGGCAAGUCAUGAUAACAAGUUUCAAGGCUGUACAUGAGCUAGUAUCACCCCCUAAGCAGCACAAGUUAACAAACAUCAGAUAUUUAGAGAGACAGGUAGGUGAAAAAGACCAAAAAACCUAAGUUGCUUAAGUCUAUAAAUAGAAACAUAACUCCAGGCCAAACCCACAAAUUCUCUAAGCCUAGACACUCUUACAAACAUACCAAAUCAAGCCUGGGUGAUAGCAACAUCAGAUUCAGUAGCCAGAAAUCAAAAUCAAGCAAAAAAGGUGUAAACCCUAAUUUAUAGCUAGAUCUUUGAUGUUAUGUUCAAAUUAUUGUUUAGAUGUUUAGAUUUAUGUAAUAUCAUGUUAGAAAGUAUGCUAAGUUCAUAAAACAUGUUUUCAUAACAUCUAGAUGCCUCAAAUUAGUGUUUUACGCAAUCUAGAAAUUUUAGAAAAAAUAGGUCUGACAGUCGAAUGUCAGAGCCUGUAGAUCCAUGUGUGUUAAUAGUUAGGUCUGUUAAUUGUGUGGUAUUUGUUGUAUGACAUGAGGUCUUUAAUCUGGACAAGAAAACAGGUUCAUUAGAACCAUAUAUUGCAAGAUAUAGGUGGUCAAAAGUGGUUGACCGAUCAUGAAGUUUUGUUUUAUUGGUUACCCAGAAAACUCAAGAACAGGUUGAACCGACUACUUUGACCAACCUUUUAAUCGCUUUCUAUUUGUUGUUAUAAUGACUUUUUGUAAUGAAUUAAUACCUUUACAUACAUAUUACAUAUCUAUGACAUUCAAUUGCUUAAACAAUUCAUAGGAUUACCAAAAUUAAUGGUCAAAAUUCGUUGACUGAGCAUGACCAAGUUUUCUGGGUUACCCAGAAAAUUGAUGAACACGAAGAACAGCCUUUGGCUGUACUUUGACCAACAUAGAUUGAGACCUUAGAGUCAUACUUUGUCCAAAUUAGUGUUACAUAUAUGAAUCUUGACAUAUAGACUACAUAUUACAACAAACAAAACACAAAUCAAUUACACGGAUUGAAAGAUAUAUAAGCUACAAAACCGUUGAUCGACAAUGACCACUAUUCUGGGUUAUCCAGAAACUCAAGAACGGCUCUGAAAGUAACUUUGAGCCUCUAUAACUUCUUGUUAUAUGUAGAUUAAAACAUGUAUUUGGCCUGAUGUUGUACUAUUGUAUGAGUACUAUAACAUCCAUACUUGUUCAAACCCAGAAUAAAUAACAGUAGCAAAUUAGAUCAAGGUCAAAGUGGUCUCUAGACCAUGACCGACUGAAACCCAGAAACUCAAGAACACCUAUAGCGACACUUCAUGUCACUAUAGAGCUUUAGUGACGGACAAAAAAUGUUUUCUAAUAAAUUAAUUAAUAAAAAAUUGAAAUAAUUAAUAAAUAAAUAUAAAAAUAGCUUUAAAAAUUAUUUUAAGUUAUUAUAAUUAACUUUUAAUAUUUUUACAUAAAUUUAAUAAAUAUUUUAUUUUAUUUGGAUAUUAUUAAUAAUUAAGUUAAUAAUAAAGUAAUUAGAAUAAUUACUUAUAAAUAAUAAAUAAUUAUUAAAAAUGAUAUUAAUGAUAUAAAAUUAUAAUAAAUGGUUAUAAAUUAUUUAAAAAUAGUAAACAAGGUAUUUAUAAUAUUCUAAGAAAAUAUUAAUUAUUUAGAAAUAGAAAUAAAUGAUUUAAAAAUUAUUUAAGGGAUAAAUAAAUACUUAAAAAUUAUUAUAAGCUUCUAGAAAUUAUUAUAAUGGAUAUUUAAAUUAUCUAAAAAUAUAAUAAAUCUUAUAAAUAAAAUUUAGUCGAUUUAUCAACUUAUUUAAUACUCGGUAAAGUAUUUGGACACCGAAACUGUAUUAAACUUAAUCCGAACAUUUGUAGAUUUUGUAUUUGACUAUUGUUAUCAAUACUAAUGUGUUAGAUUUAUAUGAAUGAAUAUCUUAGGUGUUUAUUAACCAAUCGAGUAACAUUGCUUAACUGAUCUUCGUUCAGGCAAGUUUACUAAACCCAAAUUAUUAAUUACUUACGCAAAUUUUCCAAACCCUAUUUAUUUGUUAAACAAGAUUUUAUCUUGAAUUGCUAUUAAUAUGUUACACCAAACCUUCUCUUGAAUUGCCAAUUAUUGAAAAGUUAUUGCUAUUGCUUCAGCAUAACUAAGAAAUGAAUUGUUUAUUCAUAUGAUAUUGUUUAUUGAGCAUAAACUGUUAUGUCAAACCAAAUUAUUUUGGUAAGACAUCCUAUAUUCAAGUUGUGUAUCCCGUAAAGGGAUCGAUGUUUGGUCAAUAGUAUAUUGACAUUGGGUGCAUAUGAGCACUAUUAGGAUGAGAUGCAUACUCCUAGGAUAUUGAAUAGGCUGAUCACCUACCUCAUAUCUAAAAAAAGUUUUUAAGUAUGUGUGACUGACAGAAAUAAGAAGUCUAGAAAUGGUUGAAAAAGAAAUUCCAGAAAUGGUAGCAACUAUCAAUUAAAUUUUGAGUUGUUAUACUUCUUCAAAUCAUAUAUUGUUAUAAAUAUAGAAUCUGCUGAACAUGUCAUAGCUCACCCUUGCAAAUUAUUCCCUUUGCAGUAUUAGAUGGUAACCUUGGCACUUCUAGAGUUAAUAAAGGGAAGCAUCCCUAUUUAGAUUAGUUUAUACUACUAUCUAGUUUAAUGUAAUACUUUGUAAAAAGAAAUUCUUUAUGAAUAAUCAUAUAAUCGAACCUUAAUUAUAUAUAACAUCUGUAUUUCCGCAGCCGUAUUUUCUUACAUAUAUAGAUGUAAUUAGAAUUUUCAAUAUAGUUUGAGAUCCUUGGGAAUUAUUUAUCUAAGUGAGGGUAUUGACAUCAUGGACUGUUCAUGUUUUUGUUGAUACUCUGGAUUUCGGAUAGAUGGGUACUAUCGAUACGAUAAUGUAAUUCGCAUGACAUAGACUAUACAUCUGAGUGAGGGUAUUGGUAAUAUGGAUUGUUUAUGUUAUUACUGAUACUCUGAAUUUUGGAUAGAUAGAUACUAUUCACAGAUAAAAUUCAUAUAUCUAAGUGAGGGUAUCCAAACACAACAAUAGUUCUCUUAAGAAUUUUUAUCUAUUAUGGGAUACUGUGAAUCUUGGAUCUAUAAGAAUUAUAUCUGGUUAUAAAUUGUAUAGUCACUCAAUUAGAUAUAAGCAUAAAAUCAGAUACCAUGGGCAUAUAGAUUUAAAUGCAUUAUAUACAUUGAAUUGUAGUAAGCACCAUAUCGGAUACCGUGGGAGUAUAGAUAUGGGGGCGUUACACCAAUGAUCACAACUAUUGCAAUCUAACCUCGACAAUGCCUCACAAGGGUCCGAUGCCGUUAGUUCAGGGUAGAAACUCCAGAACACCUAUCCCCAGUAGGGAUUUCAUACAACUUCAGCCGUUGGCAUGUAAAUCUAGUGAAACAUUGAUGAUGAUCCGAUGAUUUCAUCAGUUGAAGGAAAUUUCAACGAAGGUCAAGCAACCUUAACGUUAUUCCAGCCGUUGUCAAGUAAAUCCAGCGAAGCAUCGGUGAUGAUCCGAUGAUUUCAGUCAUUGGCACGUAAAUCUAGCGAAGCAUCGGUGAUGAUCCGAUGAUUUCAUCCGUUGAAGUACAUUUCAGUGAAGGUCAAACAACCUUAACAUUAUUCCAGCCGUUGGCAUGUAAAUCCAGUGAAGCAUCGAAAACCUUUCGAUGAUUUCAUCCAUUGAAGGAUAUUUUAAUGAAGGUCAAGUAACCUUGAUGUUAUUUCAGCCAUUGGCAAGUAAAUCCAACGAAGCAUUCGAUGAUGUCGGGUGAUCUUAGUCGUUGGCACAUAAAUCCAAUGACGCAUCAGAAACCAUCCGAUGAUUUCAUCCAUUGAAUUACAUUUCAACGAAGUUCAAGCAACCUUGACAAUAUUCAGCCGUUGGCACAUAAAUCCAACAAAGCAUCGAAAACCAUACAAUGAUUUCAUCCGUUGAAGUACAUUUCAGCGAAGGUCUAGCAACCUUAACAUUAUUCCGGCCGUUGGCACGUAAAUCCAGCGAAGCAUCGGAAACCAUUCGAUGAUUUCAUCUAUUGAAGUAUAUUUCAAUGAAGGUCAAGCAACCUUGACAUUAUUUCAGCCAUUGGCAAGUAAAUCCAGUGAUGCAUCGGAGGAUAUUUGAUGAUCUCAGCCGUUGGCACGUAAAUCUAGCGAAGCAUCGGUGAUGAUCCGAUGAUUUUAGCUGUUGAAGCACAUUUCAACGAAGGUUAAGCAACCUUGACGUUAUUCUAGUCGUUGGCAAGUAAAUCCAGUGAAGAAUCAGAAGCCAUCCGAUGAUCUCAGUCGUUGAUGUACAUUUCAAUGAUGGUCAGGUAAUCCUGACAUCUUAAACUGUUGGAAGUAACUCUGACAGAGCCAUGGAAGGACCUGGCGAAACAAACCAGGAAAGACUAUUCUCAUCGGGGAGGACUGAUGAUGGAAUCUUUUAUACAAAUCUUCAUCAGACAGAGUACAAUCCCCCAGAGUCUCUCGUACAUGAGAGGUGCAUCCUCAGUGGGAAGUUUGUACCAAGGAUUAAGGACUUUGGUGAUAACCCCAAUGUCAACAUCCUGGAAGUUCCUGAGAAUUUUGGGGUAAACAUCCAAUAAAUUUAUUAGGGUUAUCAGUGAAAGCUCCAGUCCCCGUUAGAAGGCAUGGGAACAGAUAGUCAUCACAUCCCGUUAGAAGACGGUCCAAUAAACAACAUUCAUCAUACACUUGCAUCAUGCUGCAUUAUAUUGCAUCAUGAUUUUCUUGUCAUAUUUUAAGUGUCUAGUAUUCUUUAUCCUAUCCAUGCCAUUACAUUGCAUGAAUAUGAUAAAGAGGGGCGUAUGUAGACACUCAAAAUUUAUGCAUUCCUAUUAUUAACCUUGUAGGAGGGCAGAAUCAUCUUCUAGUGAUAACCCUGGAGGUUAAUUCAGCUCAAUCCCAGAUAUAACCCCGGGAUACUCAGUUUUUCCAUCUCAGAGACAACCCCGAGAUACUAAGUUCCAGUUCCGGAGACAACCCUGGGAGAUUCAGUUCCAACCUCGGAGAUAACCCCGAGGGAUGCAGUUCUAGUUCUGGAGACAACACUACAAGAAAUCUCACAAAAAAUUAUGCUAAAAUUUAUCAAAUAAAAUUCAUUUUUCGUCACUAAAACAUUUGGUGACGAUUGUUAAUCGUCAUAGAGACCAUCACCGUAUAAGCGUGGUAUUAGGUUUAUUUGACAAUAUUUGAUGUCGUCACUAAAUGUUUUAACUUAUGGUGACGAUUUACAUCAUUGUCACUAUAAUUAAUUACUUUUAGUGACGUUAAUAGCGUCACUAUUUGAAUGAAACUUUCGUCACUCUAUAUUAUGUUUCGUCAUCAAAACUUAGUGCAUUAAAUGACGAAAAUCUUUUUUCGUCAUUAAAUGAUAUUUUUUUAGUGACAAAAAUAUGUUGCUCUAUUUAAAUCAUCUAAUUUUAAUGAUGACAAUUUUGCCAUAUUUAUGAUUAUUCUUUCAUCAUGUUAUUAUGUUUAUUGUCACCAAAAAUAAGAAAAUAAAUGACGGCAAAACAAUUCAUCACCUAAUAAUAUAUUUAACAUGACAAUUAUGUCGUCGUAAUUUCAUAUUUUAAAUAAUAUUACAAAAUAAUUUGUAACCAAAGAGUUACUUUUUUAGACACAUUUUUCAAUGUCACUAAUGGAAUACUUAUGGUGACGAUACAUCUCAUCAUAGAAAGAGUUAUUAAUAGUGACAAAAUUAUUUGUUAUGACUAAAUAAAAAACUAAAUAUAAAAUUAUAGAUCUAGAAAUAAGAAAAAAAGAUUACACCAAGAUGAUGACCAAUAAAUUUCAACCCUUUAAUUAAAAUAAUUGUGUUAUUACAACAACACUAGCAGAACUGAGCAACAAACUCAACCUUACCAACAGAAGAAUGCAAUUAAUUAAUACUCAAAUACAUGAACAUGUGCAUGAACUAUUUUGACAAUCAAGUGCAAAGUAAUGAGUCAAUGACCACUAUGUGCAUGGACUAUUUUCAUAUGAUGGAAGCCAAAGUAAUAUUUCAAGAAUUACUCAAUGCUGACAUUUGUAUCAUCGACCACGUCCUUUACGUCUCCAAACUGGGAAGCAAGUAGUCCAUACAGGGUCCAAUGAAACUGGACAUGCCCAGUAAUAUCAUCUCCACCACAUUGGCAUCCUCUGUUGUUAACAAAUUUCAAAAAAUGAUGAAACAUAAAAAUGUCAGUUUGCUUCUAAUGAUUUAUAUUUGUGUAUAAAAUAGAUAAUUCAUAGAGAGAGUCAAGCUAUAUAUAUAUAUACACAUAAUUAGCUGAAUUAUAUAUAUAUAUAUAUAUAUAUAUAUAUAUAUAUAUAUAUAUAUAUAUANNNNNNNNNNNNNNNNNNNNNNNNNNNNNNNNNNNNNNNNNNNNNNNNNNNNNNNNNNNNNNNNNNNNNNNNNNNNNNNNNNNNNNNNNNNNNNNNNNNNAAAAUGAAAAUGUAUUACUCAACCUCAGGCCUAAAGCUUACCCCCCCAACAAACCAAAACCCCCAAUUUUUCAAUAAUAAUAAUAAUAGUAAUAAAUUAAAAAAAUGAAUCUUUGUGGUGGUUGUCACACCUGUAGUUCUGCAAUCCUUUUUAGUUGAGCUUCUUCACCUCCUUCAGACAAAGGAAGUACCCUAACCAAAGCAUCAAACUGUAAAGGUACAUAUGAGAACUAAUUAAGUUGAUAGGUAAAUAUAGUAUGCAAUAGAUAAAAAGGAGAACUAGCUCAACCAAAAUCCACAUUUACAUAGAUUUAAUGGUGGUGUUAUGGAUAGGUGGUCAGCUAACCUGUAUAGUGCCUACAAACAUAAUCUUUCCAUACCUAUUCUCAAAUAAGUUGAUCCCUAAUGGCCUAAACAGACACAACAUGUUCACUCAAAAGCAUUUAGUCUUUGAUAUAAACAAUCAAAACUAGAUUUGUUUCUCUUUUGGGAGAAAGAAACAAAAACGAUACUAGCCAAACAACUACAUAUAAAAAGGGUCAAACUGAGAAGAUCAAAGAAUAUGUACCACCUAAAGUCUGGGUAAGCUAUAGAAUAAAUUAUACUGCUCAAGAUUAGCUUGAGAUCAAUUUAUAUGAAAUUGUUUUGGCUUCAUUUACCAACCUGAUAGAGCUGAGCACAAUCUCCUUUUAGCCAUUUAGGCUCAGAAAAAGUAAAUUCCAGCUUAAGUAAACAAGUGCUAAGCCUGUUAAAGCAAGUAAAAGCUGUGUAAAUAUAGACAUGGAUCUUCUGUAAAUUAAAAUAAACGUGAAGUGGCCUUGCUAAGGGCCAAAAAACUUGAAUUUAUUACUAACUCUUUUUAACAGGAGCUACCACCUACCAAAAGAGUUAACAAGUUGAUGUAAUUUAUGAAAGAAGCUGUUGUAAUUAUUUGAGCUAGUGAAUGUCUUACACAGCAUUAAGAGAAGUCAUGAAACUAACAAGGAUUGAAAUUAUAUUAUACCUCUACAAAAAGAUCAGCCAUUCGUACACAUGAUUAUUGGCCCCUUCUAAUUUUAUGACUAAUUAGAUCUCACAAAAAGAUCAGCAAUUUAUACCAAGUUGAUCUUGUUUCCCUCGUAAAACCCUUUCAUGAAAUACAUGUCCACGUAACAUAGUCUUGAUACUUAGAUCUUUAUUUCUCAGUUGAAACCUGACCUGUGUAAUGAGGACCAAUCAAAAAGCAGGUCAACAUAACAUAUGAUUUAUUGGGGGCUCUAUAAAGAAAAGCACUGGACCAAUUCAAAUGUUGCUCAUACUCCCUAUUCUUUUUUGUAGGCGUAUUUUAAGAGAAAAGGGACUUAAAAAUCUAGAAAUCCAAGACCACAGUUGAACCAAAUAGAUGAAAGUGAAUGAAACUACAUGAAAAUUAGUGCAAGCCUCUAGGGGAAUCCCUCCACAUUCGAUCCAAUUAAUCACAAAUAUUUCAAAAAGUUUCACUUCUAUAAGUUGGUAGAUCUCAGACAAAGAGUAAGGCUUAUUUACAGGCUUGUUGUACUAAAGUUAAUCAUUCCAGUUCAUUACAAUAUCAAUAUGGUAGACUGGUAGUUAUAUGUCAUUAACAACACCAUAUAAUUUUUAUAUUAACAACCUCCUAUAAUUUUUAUUACUUAUUUAGAAAAAAAAAAUGAUUCUCAAUAAUUACUAUAAAGCCAGAACUAAGCUAACUCUAAAACUUUCAAGAUCAGAUACAUAAUGUUCAUCCCAUUAAUAUCCCCUACCACAGAAUUACCAAAAAUCAUCACAUUAUUAGCUGUAGACGGAAAAAUACGAACAACCCUGAAUUAAAAAGAAUGAUAUCUUAACUGGGUAUAUUCCUAAUUCAAGUAUCAUGUCACAUACUUCACAAAUUCUACAGAUAGACAAUUACAGAGAAUAACCUUUAACUGGGUAAACUCUAAAAUUCAAUCGACGGUGUAAAAGAAAGAAAAUUGUUUACCUGCUUAGCCGCCUUGAUGAGAUCAGAGCUCAUGACCUUGGGUUGAUCGGAAAAAAUGGAGAUACUUGGCAUUUCUUUUCUAAUCUAGUGUUCCUUACAAAUAAUACAUCUUUCUCAAAUCACGAGAUGAUUCUUCCAUGGUUAACGACUAUGAUUCCACAAUUGAGGCCUUAUCCUUGUAAUCCGCAAAUCGAGACGUGCAAAUCUACUUCAGCAUUUCGGUACUUGUUCUUGCUUUCCUCUUUUGCCCUUAUGUCAAUCGGAGCUGCUGGAAUUAGGUCAUGUUCAAUUGCAUUUGGUGCUGAUUAAUUAGAUAAGAGGGAUAAUCCCAAGAAUAAUGAGAAGGUAUUAGAACAAUUCUUCGGAUGGUAUUAUGCUUCUACAGCACUUUCGGUUAUAAUUGCUUUGACACUUGUUGUCAAGAUAUAGAUCUACAAGGCACCUUGGAGAGGGCGGAGACAGUCACGAUUUGGGAUUAAGGGUUUUGGGUUAGGC
rnacentral:lncRNA from 1 species